rnacentral:lncRNA from 1 species
CGGUCUACAAGCCCCCUGUUGAGAAGCCACCUGUGUAUAAGCCACCGGUAGAAAAACCUCCAGUUUACAAACCACCGGUAGAGAAACCACCAGUGUACAAGCCACCAGUUGAGAAGCCCCCCGUCUACAAACCUCCUGUAGAGAAGCCUCCUGUUUACAAGCCACCAGUAGAGAAACCACCAGUGUACAAGCCACCAGUUGAAAAGCCUCCGGUCUACAAACCACCUGUAGAGAAGCCACCUGUUUACAAGCCACCUGUAGAGAAACCACCAGUGUACAAGCCACCAGUUGAGAAGCCUCCGGUCUACAAACCACCUGUAGAGAAGCCACCUGUUUAUAAGCCACCUGUAGAGAAACCACCAGUGUACAAGCCACCAGUUGAGAAGCCCCCGGUCUACAAACCCCCUGUAGAGAAGCCUCCUGUCUACAAGCCACCAGUAGAGAAACCGCCAGUGUACAAGCCACCAGUUGAGAAACCCCCGGUCUACAAACCCCCUGUUGAGAAGCCUCCUAUCUACAAGCCACCAGUAGAGAAACCACCAGUGUACAAGCCACCUGUUGAGAAGCCUCCAGUUUAUAAGCCACCAGUUGAGAAGCCACCUGUGUACAAGCCCCCAGUCGAGAAACCCCCGGUCUACAAACCUCCUGUAGAGAAGCCUCCAGUUUACAAGCCACCGGUGUACAAACCUCCAGUUUACAAGCCACCAGUAGAGAAGCCACCUGUGUACAAGCCUCCGGUCUACAAACCCCCAGUUGAGAAACCUCCAGUUUACAAGCCACCGGUUUACAAGCCUCCAGUCGAGAAGCCACCAGUUUACGGACCACCUCACCACCCAUAGUACCCUCCCGUAGUUGGCACUACUCGUUUUUAAAGCAUGCUUUUAAGUAAAUAAGAGAUAUAUAAACUUUCCAAAGCAAGGAUCAUAUAUUCUUGGAAAUCUUCAAUUCAAUCUUAUGUUUACAAAUGCUAUUGCCAAGACAAGAGUGUGAAAGAAAAUGGUGCCAUUUGUACUUCAAAUUAUGAAUAAGAACGUUAUGAUUUAGUACUUCUUAUUUUGUGUUUGUUGACUAAAUUUGACAGAGUAUACUUUACUUGUUCCCUAUCAUACCAGUAAGGUGCAUGAAAGUUCAGUCUUGAACGGUGGAAAUAAAUAAUAAUUAAUUAAUGUUUGAAUCUCGAAUUUACUAAAUUAACGAACUUGUAAUUUCAUUGGAAUAUACUUGACUCAGUGGUAGCUUUAGUUUCAACUUGGAAAAUGUCCGUGAUAUGACAAUUUUUCCAAAACAAGUUUAGGUUAAGAUUUUUAUUUUUUAUUUUUGACAUAAUAUACGUUAAGAUUCUUGUGUACUAAUAGAAACUGAAAAAUCAUUUUGGUGCUUAAAGUUUAAUGAGUUGGACAAAUUAUUCACUCAAAUAUGGAAAUGAUAAUGUAGUCUCUUCAAUUAUAGAAUGCCAUUUAAUUUAGUUACCUUUUCAAAAUUAGCAUCACAAUUCGCAAGGUUUUAUAUUUGUGUUGAUGCAUCAGUUAAGAUAAGGAUCACGAAAAUUAGGUUUUUGACUUGGUUUUGAUUAGGGGUGUUUGCGGUGCGUUUUGGUUCGGUUUUGAGCAUAAAAGUCAUCUAAACCUCAAGAUAAAAAAGCAUGCGGUUUGGUUUGAUUCAGUUGAUUUUUAUAUAGUCAUCCAAACAAAACCAAACCAAACCAAUGCGGUUUGGAUUGGUUCGGUUUGUACGGUUUAUCGCGAGAUGAAAAAAUAUUACAUUAACUCUAAUAUUGCCAACUUGUUACAAAAUAAACAUAGGACAUUUUAUUUUGUUGUUUAUAUGAUAAAAUAUUAGGUAAAACUUAUAUCAAAAUAGGUAAAAUUAAGAAGAAACAUAAGCAUGAAACAAAUUAUUGAGAAGUAAAAGAAACAAAUUCAUCACUGAAAAUGAAUUGAAAGAGAUGGAAAGGAAUUAGAAUCGAACCAGAUGGUGCAACAAUGGAAAAAUCUAAUCAAAUGAGAUUAUUCUUGAGCUAUGUAAUUGGGCUAGUACAUGUUUAAGUAAUAUUCAUUAUUCUUGCGGUUUGGUUUGGUACUUGAGAUGCAAACCGCAAACCAAACCGAACCGCGCGGUUCAGUGUAAAAGUCAUCCGAGUUCAUUCGAACCAAGUGCAGUUUUUUGCGGUUUCGGUUUGGAUUGGUUUGGUUUGCGGUUUUUCUAUUGGGUUCGUUCGGUUUUGAACACCCCUAGUUUUGAUCGAUGUUUCCUGAAGAUAUGUUUUGGUAAUUGAACUAAAUAAACUGUCUUACAUUCUUCAAUUAAUGAGAUUAAAUUUCCUUUUUACAAAUAUCAAUGAUUAAUGUCAAGGACUAAAAUGAUGAUUAGUGUCGCGCCAUUUUUCGGAGGUCAAGGCCAUUUGAUUAGCUUUUGACUCACUUUUUAUCUCACGACUGAACAAAAAAUUUUUUAAAGGGGAAAAAGUUUCAAACCACCCAUUUUGAAAAGAUUUAGGGUUCAUGGGUUGGUUAUAUUUAGGGAAGGUAUUAGCACCCUAAAUAUUCGUAGUACUCUAUGAGUACCUCUUGAUUUUAUUUAACUUUUUGUGCUUAAACUUGCUUGCUUUUGAAGAGAUGAAAAUAGAAUUGAAAGAUGAGUUGAAACGAAAAAGAAAAUUGAUUUUAAUUGAAAAGAAAAAAGAAAAUUGUUUUUUAGUUGAUUUGGAAGGACAAGGUCCUCUGCCUACGUACCCGUGAGGGAUCAAAACCUCGUAGUUCGGGGUAGAAAUUGACGUUUGAUUGGUUUUAUAUUUUUUAUUAGUUUUUGAAAAAAGGUUUGAAAUAAAAAGCCAAGUGGCAAAUGAGAAUUGAUUUGUGUUUUUUGGAUUGAAGGAAAUAGACUUGAAGUAGAAUUAAAAUUGAUUUGAGAUUUGAUUAAGAAAGAAAAUAGAAAUAGCGAUCACUUCAUUGAAAGUCAAGGUUUGUUAUAAAAAUAUUUUUUUGUGAUUUUUUGAUAUUUGGAUGUUUUUGCCGUUUUUGAAUAAUGAAUGAAAAUUAAACUAACAGAGCAAUGAAAAUAAAAGUGCGUGGGCGUGAAGAAAAGAUUUUGGUUUAUGUUAGUUCGACAAUAUAAAUAGUAUUUAAUAUAUGUUGUGUUCACUUUGGAUAUUAUCGGACAAAAUUUUGACAAUAAUAAAAAUAAUAAUAGUAAAAUAGAAUAAAAAAUAGAAAGACUAAAGUGAAUCAAAAUGAGAUAAAAAGAUAAAUAUUUAAAACGGAUUUAAAGUUAAUAAAAGAUGGAAACUAAAAUUAAAUGAAAUUUGAAAAUUGAGAGAAGAGGGUCCGACUUGGAACCAAAUAUGAGGUAUUUUAAAAUACCUUCCUAUCGAAAUUUUGUUCGAAAGGCUGAGACCGGUCGGAGUUAAAUGACACGUGUCAGUGCUGCCUUAGGUCAAAAAUUGGGGUAUGACAAUUAGCUCAAUAAUUAAUUAUUGUGAUUUCUUCAUUUUAUAUUUAUAUUUAAGAAUAAAAAAAAAAAAAUGACGAUAUCAACUUUGACACAUUACAUAUUCAAUCAAUGUUGACUUGACCAUCAAUGCUACAUAUCCGGAUGUAAGAGUAGUUCGACGAGUUUAUUUUUGUCACUUUUGUUGAUAUUUUGUUGGUUUAUGCUAUUAACUUGCAUCUAGUAAACUUGUUCAUAGCUUCAUCAUUUUCAGUUUUAGUGACAUGAUAUUUGUGUUGUAUUCAAUGUGAUUUACCGCGCGAUAUGAAUAAUAUAUAUUUUUAGUCAAAAUUAAUCAUGUCGGACCUGAGAUCUUUGGUUUGAUGGCGUUGAACGACCUUUGAGUAAGACAAUGUUAAACCAAAAUGAGUUUUAUACAAUGCCUCUGAAGUUUUGAUAAUAACAAAGUAUAAAAAGAACAAUUGAAUAUGCCAAUGUUGUUCAAGUAUGCUCGACCAUAUAUUAAAAUUCAAAGUAUUAAAUCAAGUUUUGAUUCUGAAAGAACAAGAUUAUGAACAUAUACAAGAGCAUCUGCAACUUAUGAGAAGCUGGAAAUUUGGAUCAGACUCUGAAUAAGUAAGACUGUGAAAGUCGGGAGUGUAACACCCUGAACCCCACAUACUAUUUUUAAAAGUAAUAAUUCAACAUUUAAAUAAACAUAUCAAGAUGUUACUCUUCAUUUUCAACACAUAACAAGUCUCCAUCUUAAAAUAUCAACUCACAGCGGAAAUAAGUCUCAACAACACAAAUGUCAUACAUCAUAUCUCAGAAUAAGUACAUCAUCAAAAUAAACUCAAGGUUCCUCAAACAUAAUAUGAUAACAUAAAUAAAAUCCCAACAUCCUAAUCAGAGAACCACUAGACAAGACUCCAAAAUCAAAGCGGUAAAAGAUGAGUAGGCUGCAAGCCGUCCUCGGAAACUCAUGGUAACUUUGCGUCCUCAACCUGCAAGUCUCCACCACAAGGGCGUAGGCGACCAUUUGCCAAACGUAGGGUAAGAUAUAAAUUUAACAUAGAGGAAAUAUGAACACAUAUAUAGUAUUAGGAUCGCAACAUCAUAUACAAGUAUUCAUCUUAAGCAAUACCAUAUUAACAUGCAUUCUCAUUGAUUGGUAAAAUAUACACAACAAAUCUCAAAUCAUCAUCACAAGAAUAUAAAAAAGUAAACACAUCAUUGAUUAAUCAUCCAAUGGAAUACAUAGGAUUCACACAUUAUCACUUUCAUUAAAUCACACAUUUUCCAUAAAAUACACAUAGUCAUGUAUGCAUCUUUCACAUAGAUUCACAUAGUCAAGUACUCAUCUUCUACAUAGACUCUCAUGUACGAAAUGUUCCUACUCGACUUUAUAUGCAUGUGGUACUGUUUUCGAUAUCAGAGGUAUUUUCUGAGUGAUUUCACCGUCACUUGGACUGACCAUGAAUGCAUGAACAUCUCAUCAUGACUCGACAAUGCAUAAUUCAUAUAACUCGACAAUUUACAUCAACAACAUCAUCACAUCGUAUAUUAAUUCAUCGUCGCUAUAUCAUCAUCAUCAUCAUCAUCAUCAUCAUCAUCAUUUUCAAUGUCAUUAUAUCAUCAUCAUCAUCAUCAUAUCAACAUCUAUAUAUAGUUCAAAUCAUCAUGUCAAACCAUAUCAAUAUGUAUCCACCUCGUCUCGCAAUCACAUUCACAGUCAUCAUCAUUAUAUAUUCAUAAGACAUUAUUCUACAUCAUCAAGUAUACUUCGUUAAUCAUCUAACAAGUUCACAGUCAUUUCAUGAUUCAAUUAUAAUUAAAUCACAAGUUUAUUUCUAACCAUUUCAAUUGCUAAGUUUACUUCCAUCAUAAGCUAGGUUAAUUACUCUUACACAUCAAAAUUAUACUUCUAUUAAUCAAGUUUAGAGGUUUGUGACAUAUUCACAUGCAUUGGAUACCUUAAAAUACCAAAAAUAUGAGUUUCCCACUAUAGGGAGGGUUGCACGGUAGUGCCAUCCAGGUGCACAGUCGUGCUCAUCAUGCAGGUAGGGAAAAGCUAUAAUUUUUGCGUUUUGCUCAGGAAGAACCCCUUUCAACACCAUUUUUCGAUCCAAUUCACACCAAACUAGACCCAAAUCAUAAAACUAAUGUUGUCUAAUCAAUUACACAUUAAUUUUACCUUAACUAACUUUAUUAUACUCAUUAUUAUCGUCAAUUAACAUGAACUUCAAUUGUUUUAAACUUAUCACUUCAAACCCAUUUUUAACAUGGUAAUUCAAACCCCAAACAUAGUAACAACCAAAUCAACAUCCCUUAUUCAAAAUGAACACAAAAAAAUUCAUCAAUUCACAUUAUAAACAUCAACUCAACAAUUAUCAACAAUUAUCAUGAAUUUCACCAAUUUCACAUAAAACUCAAAAACCCUAAUUCACCAUAAUCAAACAUUGAUUUUAACACAACUGUUAGGUUUGUAGUCUUGACAUGUUGGUGCGACAUCAUAGCGUGCCUUGUUCCGAUUUCUUGGAGAUUGUAUUUAAAUGUGAAAUCGCAGAAGAAAACUAAACGCAUCACAACUAAGAAAAGGUAGAAUAAAACCUUUCUACAAACAAAGCGCACAUCACUUGAAAGCAAAAUAAAUACGCAACUAAAUUUCAAAAAAGAUAUGCAUAAAUUAUCAUAGAAUAAGGCACCAAGUAACACGUUCUUACGUCUCAGAUUACCAAAUGGCUCUCCGAAAAAUAACCAGAGUAUGAUAAAAUUACAGAUUUCCCAAAACAAAAGGAACAUAAACUAAAAUACAAAGCACGAAAACAAAGAAGACACAACAACAUAACUCUUCAUCCACUAACUUUCCAUCAACCAAAAUCUUGGAGGGGUCCAGCUCGCUCACAUUAUCAUCAGGGUUAAAAUGCAGAACUUGCGCCCUAGUAUGCUCAAAGCCAUUGUCAAAAUAUAAGGCAAGAUCCCCCUUGCCAUCCUCAACGACGAAUUGAGCUUUGGCGAGAUCCCCUUACAACUAGACGACCUUCUUCUUCCAUGAAUCUCUCUCCAGCUCAACAACUUCUUUUUCAUCCUUCAUAUCUUUGGUCGUCUUCUCUGCAGUCUUCUUAUCCUCCAAGGCUUCCUUCAACCUACUUUCAAGACCCGUUGCUUUAUGCUUCCACUUCUCCACAUCUUCAUGAGCGUCUUUAUACUUUGCCUCUAAAGCACCAUGUUUCUUCUCCAUCACUUUUCCUAAUAAAAGGACCCGGAGCACUAAUAUUCUUGUAUCCAUUACUAGCUCGCCAAAUUUGCUUUUAACGCCAGCAUCAACGUCAACCUUAGACAGUGGCACUUUAUCCUCCAUGUAGCUACGAUAAACGCAUGACUUAAAAGUUGAAAACCCACUAACAUUACUAGAAUUUAAGUAAAAUCUCAUCAUCAAAUUAAACUCUCAUACCUACGAAAGUCGAAAUCUUUAUGCCAAAAAGAGUCAGCCACCUGAACAUUCAGAGAAAUGGUUCCCGCCACCCCGCUAGCAUAAUCAUCAUCCUUCCGACUGGCAACAAAUGUCCGCUUCGAGUCGCCCUUCCCAGUCCUCAUCUUCUUGCGUCUGGGCGAGUCAGUUUGCUCAGCCAGUACCCCAUUGCCUGCCGUCUCCAUGUUAUCAAUGUCCAUAUCCGAAUGUAACAUCCUAAAAUUUUAAGUCUAUAUUCAAAUGUAGUUAAAAAUAUAAAACAUAAUAGUGUAAUUAUUUUAAAAUACGCGAAGAUAAAAAUAAAGACAAAUAAAUAUGAUAUAAUUUCUUAUUAAUAAUUAAAUUUUAUUGGAUAAAAAGAAAAGGAGAAAGAAAGAAAAACAAAAAUAAAGGGAGUGCAAAUAACAAUUAUUUUUAGAAAAGAAAAAAAAAGUUAUAUACUUUCUCGAAUUUUUUUUCUGCCCUUGUUUAUGCAAAAAAAUACAAAAAUGCCCCACUUUUUCGAAAAAUUGCGUAAAUGCCCUACUUUUUCAGAAGCCCCUGGUACUACUCCACUUGGAGUUGCGGGGUACCCUAAAAAGUCACAAUUUUUUUGUCCUUAUUGUACGCCGCUACUUGGACUUGCGGGGUACUUUCCUACUUUUUUUUUUCCACUUUUUUUACUACCCCGCGAGUCUUAGCUUUUGCUUUUUUUUUUAAAAUUUUUUUUUUUUAAAUACCCCUCUACUUGGAGUAGAGUGGUAUAAUGAAGACAAAAAAAAUUCAACGUGUAAUAAUUACUCUCAAAUAAUAAAAAACUAAUUAAAAUUAUAUAACCAAUAAAAUACCAUCUACAAUGAUUAUAAAUGCCCGGCUGUCCCACACCUUCGUCUUCGACGAUCUCUUCCGCGAUUUACUUGAGGGUUAUGUUGGUCUUCGUCAUUUUUAUUUGUAGUUGAUUGUAUCUGACUACCAUAACCCAGUGACAACGACACAUCGUGUUCUCUUGUUGGCCAUCCCAUAUCCAGAAAUUGUUCAUUGGAGUUCAACGAAGUCGGAGAGAAGUGAGAUAAUAGGUUUGUUGGUGUUGGUGGGUGGUUGUAGUUUUGGUUGGUGUACAUUGGGUAUUGUGGGUUGUUGUAGGGGGGUAAUUGGUGUUGGACGGUCCAGCUUGGUUUGGGUCAUUAUAGGAGAAGUAGUUGUUGUUGGAUGUGUUAGCUUGGUUUGGUUCAUUGUAACCAUAAUUUGUCAUUGAAUUUUGUUGGUAAGUUGACUGAUAUUGGGGCUCAUAUGCAUUUCUCGGGGAGGUAUAUGGUGGUGGUUGGAUGAUAUUUUGUUGGGGGGUGUCGAGAAAUUCAUACAUUACAGAACCAUGAAUGUUUUGUGUUGUAUGUGGUUGGGAUUGAUGAUCUUGUAGUUGAGAAAAAAUGUCUUGAUCCCAAAAAUCAUCAUGAAUUGGUGUUUGGUUGUUGUGAAUUUCAGGUUCAUGUUCCGGCUCCGGCUCUUCUUGUUCGUCUGGAUCUGAAUCUGAUGGUUUUGUCUCAACUGAAAUCCUUAGACGUGGGUUGCAUGUGGUUGUCAACCACUCAAUAUACGCAUGAGUUGGGGUGAGUGAUCUUGGCCGCAUGUGAGGUAAAAUAUAACUCCGUCGGUUGUCCCAAUGUAAGCUCUCUUGUGGAAAGUGAAAACCAUUUGAUUGGUACCACAUCUUGAACCGUUUGUCCACUAUAUGGAAUUGUCGCAUGUCUCGUGGGGCCCCUGGUAUUUCCUGUGGCAAACCAAAUUCUAGCUUGACCCUAUCAGUUGGAUGCCAUUCAACUCUGUCAAAACAUAUAAGGUGAGUUGUUGCAGUCCACUCCCAAUAGUCUUCAGGAAAAUUGUGUGGAACAUUCUUGUAUGGUCUCCAUUUAAACUGGCAGAAGAGAGAAGUUGUAGUGUAAGGUUAACAAUUUUGAUAUAUAUAUAUAUAUAUAUAUAUAUAUAUAUAUAUAGUUCGAUAGGUGAAAUAUAUAUUCAUUAUUAAUUAAAUAACUCCUAAUUAAAUACUUGUAAAAAAACUCAUGAUUAAAUAAAUAAUUAAUUUAUAAUCGCGACAUUUUUUUAGUCCUAUAUUAAUUGCAUGUCCUACUUUUUUUUUUCUUACAAAAGAAAGUUAACAUAUAGCUUUUUAUUUCUUUACGACCAUGAAAGUGUUAAUAUGUAGCUUAAAUAACAAAAUAUCUUAAUUAUAUUUAAUUAGACCAUGAAAGUUAGUUUACCCUUGAAAUUACAUAAAAAAAAAAUUACCGUUCAAUAUAUAUAUAUAUAUAUAUAUAUAUAUAUAUAUAUAUAUAAACUCAUACAUUCAAAAAUCAAUUAUAAUAUUACUUGAUGUUCCAGUAUGUCAUCAAACUUUUUUCUGUAAGAUAUAGUGUCAUGGCUUGGAUUCUCGUAGUAUCUUGAACCUGCACCUGUCCAUCUAACAAAUGAUAUAAACAAAUUAGUAGCUAAUUUAUCAAAUAAUAAUAUUAAUAAGAAGCGAGAAUAUGCGAGGAAAUUAACAAAAAAAAUAAAUAAAUUAAUUGACCACGAUUACUUUAAUCCUAGCGGCUACUGGAGUGGGUUAUCAUUUCUCGGAGCGAUAUAACUCAACCGACAAUAUCCCCAAACUUGUAACAGAAAAUGACAUCCAGAUAGUGCUUUUAUAUUUGGGUGUGAUGCCUCACACAAGCCACGAUAAAGGUAAGCCAAAACUGCCGAUCCCCAACUAUAAUUUCUUGUUUCAUUAAAAUCCAUUAACAAAUACAACCAAGAGUUGUGCACAAAUAAUCCAGUUGUAUUAGGAAACAAGAACCCUCCAAAGAGGUAUAGUAGGUACCUCCUGUGUGUUGUAUUUUUACCUCCGGAGGAGAUUGUUCACUGAAGUUAUUAUCGACCAGAUUAUCCUUUAAUCACGACAACGAGAGAGUAAAACCAUCAGUUUUGUGUGCUGGAGGAGUUAUUCCCAACAAUUGAGCACAAUUAUUCCACAGAAGAUUUGGAGGAGCCGUAACAAUUGGUCCUCCAAAAGGUAAGCCGAGUAAAAUAUAUACGUCUUCAAACGUGAUUGUACAUUCACCCGUUCGAAAAUGAAAAGUAUGUGUUUCGGACCGCUAUCUUUCUACAAGAGUGGUUACGAUGUGCCUAUCAAUUUUGUAACGCCCUAUUUGAGAAACCUCAAAAAAUCCAGCUUGACGUAGAUAAUCUUCAAUAUAAGGACUUGGUAUGAUGUUUUGCCGUGUACGAGUGGUUAGAGGUGCACCCUCUGCAUCCUAACAAAAAAUAAUAAAGGAAUAAAAUUAAAACAUAAUCAAAAUAUAAAUUUAAAAAAACGUGAACAUAUUUAAAUUAAUAUUAAAAAAUAAAAAUGACAUUAACAAAUUAAUAUCUAUAUAUACCCAUCUUCUUAUAUGUUCUUCCAUGGAUCUAUGAUCAUUUUCCAACCACAAGUAUGCCAUUGCUUUAUAGAAUUUGAUUGAAAUAAUCUCUUAUGUGAGUGAGUAAGGAAAGGAUUGAGAUAAGUAGAAUAUGUGUAAAGAGUAAAAAUAUAGUUGUGGUAUUUAUAAUGUAAAACUAUGUGUAAAUGGUAGAAGUAGUAGUGUGGUAUUUUAAUCAAUGAAGUGAAGAGUUCCUGUGUUACUACUGCAACGCAUGCAAGCCAACAGUGUUCAAAUAAACAUAGAAAUGACAAUUGCAUCAAUAGCAGAAGCAUGGUGUUCAACAAUAUUGAAUUAAUUCGUAAACUUUGCCUCAUGAGAUGACCAUUGCAUGUAAAAAAUACAUUAAUUUCUUGCAAGAAAUUUUUGACUGAAAUGACCAAUGCAUGUUUUGAUCACGUGAAGCAUGCUAGCAAACAAAUGGCCGACAAGCUGCCUCUGAAUAACCAAUAGGAACGGCGCGUGCAAAUACUACCCCGCCACUCUGGGUUGCGUGGUACCCCCAGCUGGCGCAUGCUUUACAUACCCCGCCACUCCAGCUUGCGUGGUACCCCCCAGCUGGCGCGUGCUUUACCUACCCCGCUACUCUAGCUUGCGUGGUACCCUCUAGCCCGCUAGUCCAAACUGCGUUGUACCUUUUUUAAUUUUCCCGCUCGAAGGGCAGAUUAAAUUACAUGUUAGUAUAAAUAAAAGUGGUCUGCAUGAUAUCAUUGUAUCAAACCAUUCUACUUCAUACUCUUACUCAUUUCUUAAGAUCAAACCAAUUCAAUGGCACCAAAUAUAAACGUUUUUGUGUACUAUAAUGGAGAAGUUAAACAAAAUGAAUCCGGUAUUUUUUUUCAAAGUCAGUAUACCAAAGGUUUUAAAGUCAGCAUGGCUAGUACUUACUUGCAUCUCAAAAGAAGAAUUGCGGAAAAAGUAUGUCUCGAAGAUAAUAUGGUUGUGUCUGAAAUUAUGUGUCGGAAUCCUAUGUUUGUUGGAACUACCACAAUUCAUUACCAGGCGUUAAGAAUAACUGAUAACGACGAUGUCGAGUUUAUGUUUAACGUACAUAAAAGUCACAGUUCUUUGUCCUAUAUAGAGCUUUAUGUUACGUUUGAGAUGAAGAAUCCAACAUCUAAUUUUGAGUUAAAUUACCCAUCGAGUUCUAGUCAACACCAAAGUCUACCACAACACUACAAUCCGUCAUCGUCGCAAGAACACUACAACCCAUCAUCGUCCCAACCGCACUAUAACCCGUCUCCCAUUUAUGAUGCAUCCUUAUCGCAACCUUUUCAGUCAAAGUGGUCACAAAAUGUGUACGAACCAUCACAAAUAAUAACUCAACCUCAUCCCUCUCAAACACCAUCUCGUUCAACACAACCCAAAACCUUAAACGAUGAAAUCAAUAUAUUCACCUCCCAAUUUCAAGACCAACCAAAUGAUGAAGUUCAAGAUGAUGAAGACGAUGAUGAUGAAGAACUCCUUGCCGCACAAAACGGUGACGAGAACGAAGAAGACGAAGACGACGAUCUGCCACUACUACCAAUUUUACCAAUCAGAGCUUCUUACAACCCACCAAGGUCCAUGCGCAACGUCAAUGAUGACCACUCAACUGAACUUUAUCAUUCAAUGGCUCUUCCGGUCGAUCAAGGUAUUGCCCUAGGGAUGCAAUUUCAUAACAAGAAUGAUUGCAUUCUCGCAAUUAAAUUUUAUCACAUGAAAAAAUCAACGGAUUAUAUUGUGAAAAAAUCAGAUCCUGAAAGGUAUGUCAUCAAAUGUAAAGAUACAAAAUGUGGUUUCAAAUUGCGGGCCUCGUGGAGGAAAAAAACUGAUAAAUGGGAGAUUGGGAAAAUGAAUGAUCAUACAUGUGUCUCAACAGAAAUGACGCAAGAUCAUCAUAAACUUAGUUACAAUGUGAUAUGUGAAAGUGUUAAAUCACUACUACAUAUGGAUACUUCAAUUACAGUGAAGGUUAUAAUUGCACACAUCCGAGAGAAGUUUAAUUACACAGUUUCAUACAGAAAGGCAUGGAGAGCACGGAAUAAGGCGAUUAAAUCAAUUUAUAGUAAUUGGGAGGAGUCUUAUGAAGAACUACCACAAUGGUUGAUGGUCAUGGAAAAAGAUUUGCCAGGAACAAUAAUUGAUUUUCAAACGGACCCAUCAACAGAAGUGGCAAAUGAGACCGUCUUCAAGCGUCUUUUUUGGGCCUUUCGUCCGUGCAUCUCAGGUUUCGAAUUCUGCAAACCAAUUGUCCAAAUUGACGCAACUUGGUUGUAUGGUAAAUACAAGGGAACAUUGUUGUUAGCUGUUGCGCAAGAUGGGAACAACAAGAUAUUUCCCAUAGCUUUUGCAAUCGUGGAAGGCGAGACCAAGGAGGCAUGGAGUUUCUUUUUGAAAAAUUUAAGGCAGCAUGUCACCCCACAAGAGAACAUAUGCCUCAUUUCUGAUAGACAUGUGUCGAUAAAGAGCGCGUAUGAUGAUCCACAGAAUGGAUGGCACGAUGCUCCGACAAGCCAUGUUUAUUGUGUCCGACACAUUGCACAAAACUUUAUGAGAUCAUUCAAGGAUGGAGAACUAAAGAAGAAAGUUGAAUGCAUGGGUAAAAAUCAUAUCUCUUUCCACGUAAAUUCGACAUUUUAUUUGUUUAAAAUGACACAUCUAACUUUUUUCAAAACAAUGCAGGUUACGCCAUGAACAUCCCUACAUUCGAAUACUACCGUUCUGAAAUUGCUGUUGCAGACCGAAAGGCUUUAGCAUGGGUCGACAAUAUUCCCAAACAAAAGUGGACUCAAUCACAUGAUGAUGGUCGACGAUGGGGCCAUAUGACAAGUAACUUGGUAGAGUCACAAAACAACGUGUAUAAGGGUAUUCGAGGACUUCCGAUCACAGCUAUCGUGAAAGCAUCAUAUUACAGGUUGGCGGCCUUGUUUGCUAAAAGAGGACAUGAGGCAGCGGCAAGGGUAAAUUCUGGUGAGCCAUUCUCAGAAAACAGCAUGAAAUAUCUCAGGAAUGAGGUGAUUAAAUCCAACAGUCAUCAUGUCACACAGUUUGACCGGGAUCGGUAUACCUUUUCCGUCCGUGAAACCAUCGACCAUAAAGAAGGAUUGCCAAAGGGAGAAUACAAGGUGGACCUGCAAAAUAAAUGGUGUGACUGUGGACGAUUCAGAGCGUUACACCUACCAUGCUCACAUGUCAUUGCCGCAUGUUCUAGCUUUUCUCACGACUACAAGACUUUUGUCGAUAACAAAUUCACGAAUGAGUGUGUAUACGCCGUAUACAACAUCCACUUCGACGUGGUUCACCACCAGACAUAUUGGCCUAAUUAUGAAGGACUGAAGGUGGUUCCCAACAAGUCCAUGUGUAGGGUAAAGAAAGGUCGUCCACCAAUUACUCGCAUUAGGACCGAGAUGGACGAUGUGGAAACUGAGAGAAGAUGCGGCGUUUGUAGGAUGCCUGGUCAUUCCCGCAAAGAUUGCAUUAAUAUUAGACACCAGUAAAAAUCUAGUCUUUAUUUCGUUUGUAGGAUGUAUGGUCAUUUCCACAAAUAAUUGUAGAUUUUAUGGUAUUUUAUUGGUUAUAUAAUUUUAAUUAGUUUUUUAUUAUUUGAGAGUAAUUAUUACACGUUGAAUUUUUAUUUUUUUUUGUCUUCAUUAUACCACUAUACUCCAAGUAUUUAAAUUUUUUUUUAAAAAAAGCAAAAGCUAAAACGCAAGUCCAACUUGCGGGGUAGUAAAAAAAGUGGAAAAAAAAAAGGAAAGUACCCCGCAAGUCCAAGUAACGGGGUACAAUAAGGACAAAAAAUUUGUGACUUUUUAGGGUACCCCACAACUCCAAGUGGAGUGGUACCAGGGGCUUAUGAAAAAGUAGGGCAUUUGCGCAAUUUUUCGAAAAAGUGGGGCAUUUUUUUAUUAUCUUUGCAUAAACAAAGGCAGAAAAAAAAAAUUCUACUUUCUCCCCACGUUUUCUCAAAAUUUGUUUCUAAAAUAAUAAUAAAAAAAGAAAUAGUUAUUUCAGAAAGAGAAACCGUGUGAUAUUUUUUAAUUAGUGUACACCUACACUUCUCAUGUGCCUAUAAAUAAGAUGCUUAGUUGAACAUAAACUCACACUACAAAACUCUCCUCUCUCUAAAAAAUCAGGUUAGUUCUCUCUCUCUCUCUCUCUCUCUCUCCUUUUCUGAACUUUCUCUAUUCAAUCUAUAGUCAUUCUUUAUUCUUUUGAAAGAGACAAGAUUUACUACUAAAAUAACCUCAGAUUUGGUCCCCACAACCCUUCUUUUGGGAAGAACAACAACAUAGUAUACCCUUCUUUUGGGAAGAACAACAACAUAGUAUUAGAAUGUUCUUUUAUCAGAUGAGAAAGUGACAGUAGUUUAGUUCUUUUCAACCUAAUCAAACCAUGAAAAUAGUUUAGCUCUUUUCAACCAUUCUUUUUCAACAGAAACAUCAUUCAAUAAAAUAAAAUAAAGAGAUCUCAGAUCUGUUUUAGACUUUUAGUAGAAAAAAUUACACGAUUUAAUUAUUGUAUUUUUUAUACUGAUACAAACUAUGAAGAUUGAAACAAAGUUCAUAAGAAAGUUGAGAUCUUGUUUAAUUCAUAUUUUUAGUUUAAAGAAAAAUAAAGAAAUGAACAUUGUUUUAAGAAUGACGUAAUGACUAUUAAAUGGCUUUUAAACAUUCUGACUAUAUAAAAAGGUAGUAACAUAAGUUUCAUUUGAAAUAAAAUAAAAUCAAGCUAUUAUUAAAAUAUAUCUAAUAUAAUCUGAAGAAAAAAAAAGGACGUGAUACAGAGAAACAAAGGAAUUAGAAAACUUUAACUCGUUAUCUCUAUUAUUAUGACCUUGAUAAUGACUAUAGUCUAAUAGAUAGUUUAUUUUGGGUGAGUAUUCUAGGUGAUAUUGGAGCUGCUUUCGACGGAAACAAUAUUGCAACCACUUGCGAAGAAUCCGAAGGUAAGGGGAAUUACUACUAAUAAAUUUUAAAGAUUUUGCAUAAGUUAUGUGCUUAAGUGAUUAUAUGUGAGUAAAUAACUCUACUUGUGAGAGUUAAUUUCUCGAUGAUGUGGUAAUUUCUAGCGAUCAAGUACAUGUCAAAGGACAUCGACUUAUAUGUGUUUUAGUUAAUAUAAUUAGGAGUUUUUGAAAAUAUAAUACAUAAGUAGAAGAAAAAGUUUUGUAAAUGAUGAAUUGAUUAGAUAGUUAUAUUAUGUUUAUUUGGUAUUACUCUUGUGUAAGUGAAUGAGCAUAUGAAUUUCAAUAAGUGUUAACUGAUUUCGAUGAGUGAAAUUAGUUGGAAAUAUAUGAUUUAAAGUGUCAAUUAUGAUUCGACGCGAUAAUUUAUAAUGUUAAUCAUGAUUAAAAACUUCUCUAUAAAAAGAAAUGAUCUAAGAGAGAUAGUUGUAUCCCACCUCAUUAAUUUUAUGGUAUCAACUCAUAGGUAUGUUGUAAAGGAAAGAAACUUAAGAAUGCCAAACUAUGAUCACUAACUUAGUACGUAGACAUAGUAUAUAUAGUUAUAUUGUACGUGUAGGAAAUUCUUUAAAACAAAUGUAUAUGUGCUUUUUAACUAGGCAACAUGAAUUAUUCUUUGUUAAAAUCUCAUGAAUAAAAAGAACAUGUACUAGUUUAAUUGAAUUACCUAAGUUCUUACUUACUGCUGAAAUUUCUAUGCUUAUAAAUAAAUGAAAAAGAACAUAUGCUGGUCAUUAAUUGUUCAGUUAUUAUGUACUGGCUUGAUUUACUUGCUGGAAUUUCUAUGCUUAUACAUAAAUGAAGAGGGACAUAUGCUGGUUAUUAUUUGUUGAGUUAUUAUAUACUGGUUUGAUUUACAUCACUGUACUAAUUGAAUAAAAUUCUGAUGUGGCUAAUCAAUUUUAUAAACAUAAAUGGUUAAUUGUUUGACAUUGUUGAGUUGAAUAUGAGUGUUUUGUCUUGUCUAGAAAGUAGGGACAAUUAAGGAGCUAUAACAGGUCCCUAUACACUCAGGUGUAGAUGAGAAUGAGGAUAGUUAUGGUUUGGUUACUUUGAGGAUCUAUCGAGGGCACUUGUGUUUCGAACGCCUAUCAAUAGUUGGGGAUUGCUUCCCGGCUGAAAGUACUCGUACUACCAGACACGGUGAGCCUGAAAAAACUAGACUAUCUAUGAUAAGGUAGUGCGAUCGGACUAGAAUGAUUAGAGUUUAAGCAUAUCUUGCUCAAAAUACUAAUAAUCAUGAUAUAGUUGCCGAAACGGCCUUAUGCUCAUUAGAGUGGAACCUCCAUGGAGUAGUGAAUUAUGAGAAGAAAAUAAACUAGAGUCAAGAAAAAAAAAGUCAAAAGAGUUCAUGCAUGUGUCAUGUUGAAUGUCAAACUAUUAAUUCAAAUUGGACCUCUUAAAAGAUAGUUUUUUUUUUUUUUUUUUUAUAAUAUGCUUUGUGAUUGUUGUUGGACAGUGAAUGAAAAGAAAAUAUUAUAUCUAUGUAAAUAUCAUUUUACCUUGCUGUAUAUAUAUUAUUUUCUUUUUCCUUAUGUAAUAAAUCACGUGGAAAACUUGUGUACGAGUAAUUCACCCUUCUUUGUUUGUUUUUGUAUCUUGUUGUUUUUUUUGGGUAUGUUCGGACGUUUUUAUAGAUGAUGCCAGAAAGACAUUUAGCUCACUCGGGAACCCGCAUGAUCGAGUUCCUUGAGGUAUUUUCUUUUGCAACACUUAUUAAAGAAGAAAGUAAUAAUAAAUCAAAACACUCACACAAAGACGCCUCAAGACUAUUGGAAUCACCCUAUCGUAUCAAAAGCUCAUGAAUAUCCAUAAGUAAAAACUUCUCCAAAAAGAACACCAUACCCUACUCAUAGGGUGCCAUCUUAUUAAAAUCAUACCCCAUCACUGCAAUCGGAGCAAUGAUCCAACAUAAAGGAAACUUUGGUUUUCCUUCCACCAUCACCAACGAAGUUGAGCCCUCAGGCUCUCCUUGCACCCUAACAAACGAAUCACACCAAUCCUUCUUAAAGUUAGAAGCAUAAGGAGGGAAAAGUUUUUUACUAGGAUAGGCACUAAUUGAAACCCACAUUCCCUUGUUUACAUCUUUCGUCCUAUAAAAAUGGAAGAAGACGCCAACAGAAGGCUCCAAACUCAUCCUUACAAAGUAGUUUGAAUCCACGAAUAAACGCCUAGCUAUUAGGACGUAUUUGCGAAGGCGCCACAUUCAGAAACUUUAGCACAUCCAUCUCAAAAUCCGUAAAGGGUCGUCACCCCAAACUCUUCCAACACCGUCAUAUACAUAAGAAAGGAAUCAUCCCUGACACCCUCCAAACGCUGAUCGCACACUCUCUCGCCUACAUCACAGGGCGACACUGUCACAUCUUUCUCGUUCUCAGUAGCAGAAGUAUCCAUCUUGUUUCAGAAUAAAUUGAUAUCCGAAGGCGACAUAUAUGAAAACACCGCUCGAAGAACUUCUUCAGCUAAAUGAUUCAUCUCCAACUCAUAAGAAUACGUCAAACACAUAAUCUCUUUUUGAGUAGACGGAAGAGGCAUAUAAUGACAAAUCUCUUGACAAGUUUUCCCCCUACGACAAAUCACUAUCACUACCAUUAGAGCUAUCGCUACUAGUGUUGCUAUCAUUGGACAAUUCCCCUAAAACCCUACGAUAAAAAAGCCCUAAUUCGUAAGCUUCCCAAUCAAUCAAGUCAUUAGGAUGUGUUGCAUGUCUUAAAGAAUCUCUCCUCAGUUGGUCUCUCUCAUCAAAAUUCGUAGGAGAGAAGGCGAAAAAUGAGAGAAGGAAAAUGGAAGAGUACUUGAGAAGAUUGAAAACGUGAGCUUAGAAAUCCAGACAAUCAGCUGGCAAGUGCGCGAAUACGGAGAACUAAAAGGCGAAAAAUGCGGAAGUGAAAUGAGGAAAGGAAGGAAAUGAAGGGUCAAAGAGUUUUAGAGGACAACAACAAUUAAAACCCCCUCAAAAAACACGCUCAUCCUUGGCACGAUUGGAGACACGUGUCAAGAUACACCCAGAUUCGAACACGUCACUAUCAUCGAAAGGUCACACAUUUUGGACCAUACAAUCAUGUUAAAAAUGAAAGAUCUCGUCGAUAUAGAAUUUCAAAAAACUCGUUGCCAACUCCUCAAACAGGAAACUUACUCGCCGUGCUGUUACAAAUCACUUCGCCUUGUCCCAAGACUCGUGGUUGGGGGCUGUGAACAAACAUCAGGCAUAAAACGCAUGACUCGACUAGCACACACCCUAGGGGGCUCUAGGAUAAAGCAUAAUCACCCAAGGGGGACUCUGUAAGCUCCAACAACAACAUCCAAAGACAUACACAAAAAAUACUGAUAAACGUAAAAUAAAUUCCAAAUGCUAAUUAAUCAUUUCGCCUUGUCCCAAGACUCGUGCUUAGGAGGCUUUGGACCGUCAAUAUCUUCUUAAGGACCUAGAAGUCCUCCCAAAGGGCAUUUAGACCCUCCUAGAUGCCUAACACCCUUCAAAAGGGCUCUAAGGCCCAACACGCGCCCUUCCUAGGGAGCCGCCUCUACCAGCUUCUAAAACCUCCAAAGCUCGGCCUAAAUACCUAAUACGAUUACAAACCCUAAUACCUCAUUACGUAUAGCUUAAGAACCAUAAAUCAGGCCAAUAGAGGGCUAUAAAUACAACCUUUGAGAGCCUUCUGAAGGCAUGACCAAUACAUUACAAACCCUAAUACGAUUAUUGUACUUUUGCAAGUACAAUGAGGAAGGCGAUAUUGACAGGGAAAGUUUCCACCUAAUUUGGGCUAAAAACAUGGACUUUUGGGGGUAAAAAAGUCACAAAAAGUGACUUUUUUCGCAAGGAGCAGGGCGCCUAGCGCAUAAUGGCAUGCACCUAGCUCAUGUUCCUGCUAGGCUGAGGCGCCUAGUGCCCCUUUCAUGCGCCAGACGCUUCAGUUGUUUAGCUUAGGGGCACCUAUUGUGCACCUGGGUGCAUAAGUGCCUUUUCAGUGCCUUUUCAGUGCUGUUUUUCUUGUUUUCUUUGCCUUUUGAGGUGUUUUCUUCAAUGUAAGAUGUCUUGGAACUUGAGAACAAAAUUCCUUCCUUUGUAAAGACUUCUGAGGCAUCUUGAAUCUUCAUUAUUCAUCUUCCCAAGGUCCACAUAAAUCUUCAAAUGUCUUGCAUUGUCUGAUUUGCUUGAUUUCUUCGUGAAUUACUUCAACAACACCCUAAAAUUGCUAUUUUUCAGGAAGAAUAGAAUUACAAACUCAAUAUAAAAUACAUUACAAAUGUACCGAAAUCAUAGGCAAUUGAUCAAAUACUCUUCUUCUUUGCUGGUAAAACCUACUGAAAUUGACUGAAAAAUGUAACAGCCCUAUUUUCGUUAGAUUUAUUUUAAUUGUUUUAAUAUGUGUUUAUUUAUGCUUAUGUGUGAUUAUUAUCAUUGGGUGCAUUUUUAUGGGUUUUCGUGUUGGAAGGAUAAUUUAGUAAUUUCAUGUAAGGAUUAUUUUUAGUGUUUCAAGUGAGAACCAUUAUUUACUAAGUUACUAGUGUGGUAAUUAGUUGUGAGCCGGUAAGUGAUCGUUGUUAUUAUUUUACCGUUAAGGGAGUAGAAACAUUUUAGAAUUAGUGAAUUAGUGGGUUAAGCCCACUAAGGCAUUAGGGUUAAACCCAAUUGAGAAGAGCCUAUAUAAGUUCUAGAUUUUAGAGAAAAAUAGGUUUCCACUUCAUUUCAUAAGAAUUUUGAGAGAGGUAGAGAUAGAAAGUUCAAGAGAAGAGGAAAAUGGUUAGAAGGGAGAAAAGCUUGAAGACUCAAGAGGUGAUAGAGAUUCUAGGACCUAAAUUGAAGCUUUUGCUAGGAUUUUUGCUAAUUGAGGUAAGGGGGUUAGAUUUCAAUCAUAAUAACUUAGUUGUAGCUUUUACCCUAAUUUCAUGUAUAAAUGCUUAUUUGUAUAAAGUGAUUAUUAUGAAAUUAAUUGAUGAAAUUCGUGGUUAUGCUUUGAUGUGAUGUUUGGGUAUGUGAAAUUGAUGUUAAUUAAGUUGUUGAUGAAGAAUUUACAUGCUCAAGUUAUGUAUAUAUGUAUACUUGUGUUUUUGCUCAAAAUUGAUGAAGUAUAAUGUUAUUGUUGGUGAAUUGUUGAUGAAUUCACUUCUGAUUGUUGUUGUUGUGAUUGUGAGUAGUUGUUGUUGAUGAUUGAAACCUUGGGUAAUCUUAACCAUAGAGCUUGAAGUGAGUUUCUAUUGUUCUUGAAGUUUUCAUGAAAAAUAGGUCAAAUGGUAAUUUUGUUGAAAUUAUGUUGGAUUCAAGUUUUUAUAUGGAUUUGAGUGUCUUUUCAUGUUUAGACAAACUUUGGGAUCAAAUUUGGGUAUUGGGUCAAAAUUGGGAUUUUGGGGUGAAAAAUGAGUUUUUUUUUGUAGUAGAACUCCAGAAGCCUGUCACAACUCGCCAUGGCGAGCGGGAGGCGAGCAGGAGGUGCUUCCUGUGUGUUAACUCCCCAUGGCGAGUGAUUCACUCACAGGGCGAGCUGCACAGUGACAUCAUUCCCUGUUUCGCAAUCUUGCGUCUUUUUCACAUAUUUUUGUUUUGAAUUGGUCUUUGGUAUAAAUAUGAAAGUUUUAGAUAAUUGUGUUAGCUUUCCAGUGGCGUUGGUUUGACUUGAAAAUGAUUUUUGGUUUUUGAGUUAUGAUGAAAAUACUCCAAGGAGGUCUUAGUGAAAUUUUAUGAAAAUUCCGCAUAACUAUUUCUAAGUCAACCCAAAACUUAUGGAUUGUUUCCAAACUUCAAAACUUGUGUACUAUGAGUUAAAUUAAUGUGUUUAAGAGUAUUUAAGCUACGUUGUGGUGAAUUUAACUUGGUUUUGUUUUGAAAGUGAAUUGGUUUUACAUUAUGAGUAAAGCGAUACGAACUUUGCAAAACUUUGAAUUUAAGUGAGUUGGCCUAUGGGACCUUGAUGUAUACACUAUUGCACUCAUAUGUGAUUGGUGUAUAUACUUAGUUGAGGUUUCCAAAUGUGUUUACCUUGUUUUGUCGGAUAACUUGAAAAUUGGUAAAAUGAUACGAACUUGUCGUAACCUGUGAUUUUGAUGAUUUUGUCGUAGUAGGCCGGUGAAACGCACAUGUAUAUUCAACUACACUCAUAUGUGAUCUAAGUGUAUACAUAGUCGAGGCCCUAGAGUUUAUUUACUUGGUGUUAGUUCAUUUGUCUCAAUUAUUUUAAAGUUGUAAAAUGAGAGUUGAACUUUGUCAAAAAUGGUUCUUUAAAGCCAAUUACCUUAUAAAUCUUUUGUAGAUAACUUUAUAUGACUAAAUGAAGAUAUGUGAAUGAAUUUUUAAUUGUUGAAUAUGAUAUUAUCAUAAGGUGUUGCAUUUUCUCUUUACUUGGAAUAUGAUAAGUAUUUGGAAUGGUGGAACUAUACUAUAUGGUUGAUGUUGAUUAAUAUUUAUAUAUCAAUUGAUGUUGAUGAUUACUGAUAAUUAUGAUGAAAAUGUGAUGAUGACUCUUAAUUGGAUUAUGACUUUAUUGUUGUGUGGACGUAAAUAUUUGAUAAUGCAAUUGUUGUUGAUGUUAUCCUUUAUAUUGUUGUUGAAUAUUUAUGAGGUGAUUUUGCAUUGUCAAGUCUUUCCUUGUAUGUCCAUGCAUCAUAGUCAUGUUGAGUCUUGAUGUUGUAAAGGAGGGUUACUCUUUUACUUUGGUGAUAAUGUAAGACGGGUGUGAAAUUUUACAUAUGAUGUUUUUGUUGCAUCAUGUGUGACGACCUUGAGGUGAUUUGGUACCACAUGCAUAUAUGUGUCGGGAUUAGGCACAUAUCAUAUUGGCGUGAGUCUUAAUUGAUGUAUUUGAAUGAUGAUUGAUGAUGAUAAGUGUGUUUGAUGAAUACAUACUUGUGAUAUUUAGAAUUGUUGCAUGAAUGUGUAUAUGGAAGUUAAUUGCUCAUGAUUAAUUAAUUGAUACUUGAUUUGAUUCAUUUAUGUCUAACUAUUUAUGUGGAUUAUGAUUGUUGUAAAGCUUACCCCUAGUGGUUUUGACCACCUACCUGUCUAUAUGGAUGGGUAGACGAAGUGCAAGAUUAGUCGCUUUGGUGAGUUGCUUGGUGAUUGCUUAGAUAGAGGGAGUUAUCUCCGUUAUCGUUUCCUUAGAGUCUUAGGAUAGGCUCUGAUCUAGGAUGUAUGUCUUAUGAUUAUUCUAGAUUGUUUAUUUUGGAUUUAUUUGUGUUGUGGAGAUUUACCCAAUUGUCGGAAUUUGAAGAAUUUUUAUGUUGAUGUAUUUUGACCUCAUGGCAUGUAUACUUUUGAAGUGUAUGGUUUAUAUCCGCUGCAACGGUAUAGAAUUUUUAUAUAUGCUUGUUAUUUGAACAUUGUUGAUGAUGUGGCGUCUAUUUCUUGGAUAUUUAUAUUAUUCGCGUGUUUUAUUGCUUUAAUAGAAAUAGGGCGCUACAAAAAACAUGCUAAAAAUAACGUAAGAUGUCCUGUCAUCAUACAACGAUUGAGAAAAAGAUAAAGAUUGUCUAAUACCCAAGACUUCUUACAUAACUAUUUCAUCAAAGCAGAAUAGUUCAAAAACUGGAAGGUGUGGGUUUUCAUGACCUAGGAAUACAGGUAGCUCAAGUGAUGACAACAUAAUUUAUGGGAAAUAUGAGAAUCAUCAAGUCUGUGGUAAUGUCAAAUGGAUUCUCAAUCAGAAAAGAAUGCAGAACCUUUAUCCCAGACUUUCCCUCGAUCAUCCAAGAACCAAAUACCAAAGAUCUAGCAGACCUAGUGUCACAAGCUUCUGAAGAUCUAAUCUGACAUGGACCAUGCUCCUAGGGCAUGGACCAUGCACCUAGGGUAGGGUGCGUUUCACAGUCACAUGCGCCUAGGGCAUGGAGUGUGCUCCCUGAGAACUAAAAAAGUGUGGGGCAAAAUUGAUUUUUUUUCGACUUUUGUGUUGUUAUUUUAUGUUGUGAUUUUCUCAGAUUGGAGUGGAGGUAGGAUGUGAGAGUUCAACAGAUCACCAUUUGUAUGACUGAACAGACUAUUCAGAAAAUCUGAAUCAGUGUUUUGAUAAAUGGUUUAGCUAGAGGGUAAUGAUAUAGGUGGCGAAGGAAUAAUGAUGGAUGGUACUGAAGAAAUGUUAACAUAUUAUGUAAGCUCAAGAUCAAUACCUUUUGUAUUAUGAGAUUCUUCUGCUUUGCCUGGUGAGGUUGGCUCAACGGUAGCUGUUGUGAGGUUGGCUCAACGGUAGCUGCUUCUGUGACUAGCAUGCUGACUUCUUCUGCUUGCUUCUGUUGCUUCUCUUGGUUCUCACACUCAUCUACAUCGAUGAAUAUUAGAUGACACAAAUCUUCCUUAGCAUGUACAUUCUUCUUCCUUUCUGGUGAGGGAAUGAGUGAGUGAAUAGUACCAGAGUUCCUUGUGAGCUUGGAAAAAUCCGUUUUGUAGACAGAUCACAAAGUCACAUACUCUUAAUUUGUCUCUGAGUCGGUUUUGGAUUGCCUCGUCUUUUUGGGUGCUUGAGAAACUUUCUCAUCACCUUUCCUCUUAACCUCGACUUUCUUUAACUUCUUUGUUGGAGGAGAUGUUGUGACUUUGGAUGAUUUCCUCUUAUUCUUCUUGUUGUCUGCAGUUUCUGAGUCACCAGGAGUUUAAUCCGGAAAGAACUAAUCCGCAACUAAUUACUAAUAUUUUUCAUUGAAAAAAAAUAAUUUUAAAUAAGACUGGUACCUUGGUCUGUUGUAAAUUUGUAAGAACUAAUUUGACAGACAAUGAUAUAACUCAAAGACUAAUUUAUUUGUAAGUGCAAUAAUUUUGUUACUAAUUUUUGACCGUAAAUAACACACAAGUUAGCAGAAGGACCAAGUUGUUCAAUAUAAUUCAAAAUGUGAUUGUUUUUGCCAUGGCAUCCCCCAGUUUUUCUAUAAUUACACAAGAUUCCCUUUGUCUCGAUGGUUAGGAAGUACAAUUUUCUUUUGGAUGUCUCGUGUCUGAGUCCUAAUUCCCCUCAUUUUUAUAUUUCUAUUAUAUUAUAUUUUAAAUUUUAUUAAAAAAAUGUUCUUGAGGGGGAAUCGAACACGCACCACUACACUGAAUUCUAGCAAAAAACUGACCCCUAGACCGGUUACUGAUCUGAAGAAUAUUAUGAAACAACUAAACAUAUAUUCCAUAAAUUUUGGCACCCCCAAGAUAAAAACUCAAGAUCCGCCAUUGCCUAACUCAAGGUCCUAAAUACGCCACUACCAUUAACUAUAAUUAAUAAGAGUGUUUUAGAAAAUGAAACAUAUUUUGAACAUAUUUCUUAUCAUUUCUUUAACAAUUAUGUAAAACUCAAAAGGAACCCUUAAUUUGAGACAGAGGAUAUAUAAUAAUCGAUGAAGUUUAAUAUCUGCAAAAAAGUGUUAUUAAGUGAAGUAAACUUAACAAGGGUGACACUUGUUUUCUUUUGGUAAGGUGUGGGAGCACUCUUGACUGAGUUUCUAUUUUUUUUUUUUAUAUUCUUUUGAAAGUUGUAGUGGUGUAAUUGGGUGGUUAGUUGAAGUAAUUUUCGUUUUGGUUCUUGCUUGAUCUAUUUUGCAUUGUGAAAUUUCAAUUCUUAGUUUGCUUUCUACAUUGACGGAGUUGCUAAGUUGCAAUCAAACUUUUGAGUGUGUAUUAAUUAUAACAGUAAGAGUGUUGCUAGCACUACUCUUAUAUAAAAUCAGAUGUAUUUUUAAAUUUAUUUAUUUAUUUUUUUUUUUUUAAUUUCUACGAAAGUGGUGCACUUUUCCAUGAAUAUGCUUUUAGUGCAACUCCUUACCAAUGUAGUCAAACAAUUUCUUAAAACUCAUUGUUAUUAGUCAUUUCGAAACAAUGUAUUCACCAAGACAAAGGAGUGGGUGGAAGGAUAAUGGGUGCAUGCACAAUCAAGAAAAAGUUAGGUGAACAUUACAAUCAAAAUAUAUAGCAUAGAGCAUCAAAAUUUAUCGUAUGAAACAAUGUUUUUCUAAAAUAUGAAUGUGAACAAAUAACCCUUCAACUCAUAAGAUGAUCUUUAAUAUAUAGAAUUAGAAAGUUAGAGUAUCAGUACACCGAAAUUUAUAUAUUCAAAAGUGAGGCGUAGUUGGUUUUCCUCUUUAUGUAGUAUAGUUCGGUUUUUCCAUUUUAUUAUGGUACUUAUUCCUAUCAAAUUGAUAAAUCAGCUUUAUCUUAUAAUUGAUUUAACUAAUGAUGACUUGAACAUCAAUAUUAUAUAUUCGGAUAUACGAGUACUUCAUCGUGCUCUUAAUUUAGAGAUGUUUUGAGUUUGUUUACAAAUUGAAUCUUUGAAUUUUAGACAUAGAACUUGUACUCUUUUAGAUAUAAUAUACCGAUUUGAAUGGAUAAAUACCGUAAUUCCAAACAUAUAUUUUUUUUUCACACACAUACCUCAUCCAUUACGAAACGCAGGAACUAAAGCUAUAUAAUAUAGUGAAGCUAAUUUAAUAAAAAAUAUAUAUAUUUGGUGAUGCUAAACUCAGUCUAACUUAAUGCCAGUUCAAAAGGAACACUGUGGUAUGGAGGAAUUCUUUGUUUUGCAUUUAUAAAUGGCAACUAUACCCUAUUAAUCAUCAUCAUAAAAAUAAUUUUUAUAAUGUAUGAGACCAAGUUUCACGUCUCUAUUAUUUUUCAUCAUUUUUUAGAAUUGUACGAUCUUGUACCAGAUCUUCGUUUAGUUAUGAUGAUAGCAACCACUCUCACUGAAAAAUUAUAUAAUAACAUUUUUUUGGCAUAUUUAAUUACUGAUCCUGUCGGUGUAUUAUUGUAAAAUUAGGCAAUUUGUCCAAUCAAUUCACACAUAAUUUCAAACCUGGCAACUAUAUAAAAACAAAAUCAUAGGUAAAUAAUGUAGAAAAUCACCAACAACCCUUGAAUUUUGUUACAAGAAAGGGCCAAGUCAUCACCUUAUCAAGAUUGUGAGUGGAUUCACAAAGAUCACGACUAGUAUAAAAGGAGGAAGUCACUCUUGUGUUUUCUGCACCAAACUCAUAAGUCACUAACAUGGCUUCCUCAAACUUCCUAGUGCUGCUUCUUUUUGCUCUAUUUGCCAUUCCUCAGGGUCUUGCCAAUUAUGAGAAGCCUCCGGUUUACCAACCACCGGUGUAUAAGCCACCAGUUGAGAAACCCCCGGUCUACAAACCCCCUGUAGAAAAGCCACCAGUAUAUAAGCCACCAGUAGAGAAGCCUCCAGUUUACAAACCACCGGUGUACAAGCCACCUGUGUACAAACCCCCAGUAGUGAAACCCCCAGUCUACAAACCUCCUGUUUACAAGCCACCGGUGUACAAGCCACCAGUUUACAAACCACCAGUAGAGAAGCCCCCAGUUUACAAGCCACCUGUAUACAAACCCCCAGUAGUGAAACCCCCAGUCUACAAACCUCCUGUUUACAAGCCACCAGUUGAGAAGCCUCCAGUUUACAAGCCACCAGUAGUGAAGCCACCUGUUUACAAGCCCCCAGUCUACAAGCCACCAGUAGUGAAGCCACCUGUAUACAAGCCUCCAGUCUACAAGCCACCCGUUUACAAGCCUCCAGUUGAGAAGCCUCCGGUCUACAAGCCACCUGUUUACAAGCCCCCAGUUGAGAAACCUCCAGUCUACAAGCCACCGGUUUACAAGCCUCCAGUCGAGAAGCCACCAGUUUACGGACCUCCUCACCACCCAUAGGACUCUCGGAUGCUUUUAAGUAAAUAAGUUAAAUAAGAGAUAUAUAAUGUUUCCAAAGCAAGGAUUAUAUAUUCUUGGAAUCUUCAUUUUAGUCUUUUGUUUACAAAUCCUAUUACCAAGAUAAGAAUGUGAAAGAAAAUGGUGCAUUUGUACUCCAAGUUAUGAAUAAGAACGUUGUGAUUUAGCACUUUUUAAUUUGUGUUGGUUGACUAAAUUGGACAUAGUAUAUAUAUACUCUACUUAAUACUCUGUCAUAUCAGUAAGGUGCAUGAAAGUUCAAUUUUCUGUAGUAGACAUAACGAAUAAUUAAUUUAUGUUUGAAUCUAGAAUUUACUAAACUUCACGUACUUGGAAUUUCAUUGCAUUAUAGCUUGACUCAGUAGUAGCUUUAGUGAAAAAUGAUUUUGGUGCUUAAAAUUUUAAGAGUUGGAGUUUGGACAAAUUAUACACUCAUAUAAUUUAGUUAUCUUUUCAAAUUUACAAUUACAAUUUUCAAGGUUCUAUAUUUGUGUUGAUGCACCAAUUAAGAGAAUGAUCAAGAAAAUUAGGUUUUUAAUUGGUUUUUAUCGAUGAUUUCUGAAGAUAUAUUUCGGCAGAUGAACUAAUCCUUCAAUUUAAGAGAUUAAAUUGCCAUUUUACAAAUUUCAAUGAUUAUAUUAUUACCUAAUCUUAAAUAUAAUUUUUAGGGCUAAAACGAUGAUUCACUCAAUAUAUAUUGUGAUUUCUUAUUUUUUUUAUGAUAUAAAGAUAGCUGAAGUUGUGUGAUAUACAAAGUUAUAUUUCCUUUGGAAGAUAAGAGUCCCCCACCAUAUUGACAUGAAAGUGAACGUGGGAAAAUAUGUGCAAUUAAGGUUCCAAAUAUUAAACAAUAGCCACAAUAAUUGUCUAUAACUCAUAACAAAUAUAAGAACUUGAUAAGAAAAAUAAUAAAUAUAAGAACAUGAGCAGGCCAUAGUUUUUUAGCCCGAGAAGCUUCAUCUUCUUUUUAAGUCUAACAUUUUUUAAUCUUCAUUCAAAGAAGAUUGGUGAUUUUGGGAUAUUUUUAUAAGAUAGGUAAAUAAUGAAAUUUGUGUUGUACUCGAAGAAAUCUACCACACGAUUUGAAUGAAUAUAUUACUUUUAGUCAAAAUAAAUUAAAAUAAAGAAUGUAACAUUUCAAACUCACUCACAUAUAAAGAAUGAAUUUACAAUCUUUAAAACACAAAUAUUUAAUCCUUAAAUCUAACACCUCUCUUAGUUUUAGCGAAAUGAACUUUGUGUUGUACUCGAAGAAAUCUACCACACAAUUUGAAUGAAUAUAUUACUUUUAGUCAAAAUAAAUUAAAAUAAAGAAUGUAAAAUUUCAAACUCACAUAAAAAGAAUGAAUUUACAAUCUUUAAAACACAAAUAUUUAAUCCUUAAAACUAACACCUCUCUUACAUUUAUUUUGUUUACGUACCUUUAUUUUGUUUUCAAAUACUUAUAUUUAGUUGAAUUCCUUCAUUAUACUCUUUUUAAUGAAUUUUCUGAACAAAAUAAAAUUGUGUUACUCAGUCACUCAAAUUAGAGUGGAUAGAGCAAUGAAAAUAUUUAUUACUAUGUAGUUUAUAGUUGGAGUGAUCGGAUAGUCUAGUGGGAUCUUAGCCACUCUCGUUUGACUCACUUGGAGCAUGUCAAAAAUAUUUUUUUGAAAAUGAACGAUGGAGAUUUACUUUGCACUAGGUCCAGUGAAAAAGAUAUGGGAGAUAAUCCCAAUCUUAGCUUAUUGGGUAGGCCAGUGUUGAGAAUGGAUUCUCUCAAAUGUAAUUAUCUCACUAGUCUAAUUACCAACACAAUCAAAGAGAAAAAAUAGUGGGAUGUAAGUAAAAAAUCCAUAUUCUACUUACUCAAUCAUCUAUACAAGCUACUUUAAUUAUCUAGUCGAACGUUACGAGCGUUACAAGAGAAAUCAGAAUAUCGAUGAUCAAAAUCCUUCAAAGCAAAAGAUGUUGUUGUGUGCAAGUGUGAGUUAUAUGCCCCACAUCGGAUAAAAGAGUAAAGGUUGAACACCUUAUAAGUAAGAGGACCAUAAACCCAAAGCCUUAAGGUUUUGGGUAAGAGUGUGGUGUCUCCCUUGCUUGUCUGGUUGUUCUAGCCUCGAUGUGGACGCUCCCCCAAGCUCCCCUCGCUGACCCAACAGUGGUAUCAGAACCCCGGUUCGAUGAAGGGUACGACUGAGGCCGCCUGUCAGUUGUGCAGAAAGCAGCAACGACGGUACAAGCAACAAGUGGCUUCUUGUGCAGCAACGGCUAUACAUGCAAAGUAAAAAGCUUCCACGCGGUACAAGCAACAAGUGGCUUCUUGUGCAGCAAUGGCUAUACAUGCAAAGUAAAAAGCUUCCACUCUAGGGGAGCGACUCACGCUUGAGGGGGAGUGCUGUUGUGUGCAAGUGUCUGUUAUAUGUCUCAAAUCGGAUAAAAGAGUAAAGGUUGAACAUCUUAUAAGUUAGAGGACCCAUAAACCCAUAGCCUUAAUACUGUCCUUUUUGCAUAUUUAGCCCCCCCGAAACCAAUUUUAACCAAUUCAACGAUGACGUGGAUGUCACGUGUGUAAUGCUUUAAUUAUUUUAGUUUUAGAUAGAUACAGAGAGAGAGGUGUCAUAUGUCAAAAAAAAAAAAAGAUAGAAAAGAUUUCCUUCCUUGAAUCGUUGAGGUAACUACAAACUAAGACAAUGAUGUUAUUGGUUACUUGUUUCUAAUACCUUUGAAAAAGAUAGUUAGACCAAUGUAUUGGUCAUUAACUCUUUUCAAUGGUUACUACCCUAGUGUCUAAGGUGAGUCAUAACAACGUCAAAGUAAGUACAAUUAUUAUUAAUUUAUGUCUACACCUAAUCAAUAAUUGAAGGUUAAGAUAGGUCAAGCCAACAAAGUUAAGGUUAAGAUAAUCAUUUUCACCUAAAUUGAUUUAUGAACAUAUGUUAAUGAUGACAGUCCGUCAUAUCACAUUUUUAGAGUCUUUUCAAUUAAGUUUUUAUUCUAAUUUUAUUAAUUUAGUACUUAAUUUAGAGUCAUUUUAAAUAAAUUGUCAUUUUCUUAUUAUUGAGUCAACUAGUGUAUUAUUACUAUUAUUAUUGGUCAAUUAGUGGCUAGUAAAGAGAAUGAAACAAAAACAUGGUUUUGUGAUGGAUGUGAUUGGCCAAGAAAAAUGAUAACAAGUUGAACGAAAGAAAAGAAGACCACACAAUGUUGCAUUAGGGUGCAGGAAUCAAAACCAAUAUAAUUGGGCUUUCUUUCAUGGACGUUGAACCAAGAAAAAGAAAAGAAAAGAUAACUUGCUGCAUAAUGUUAAUUUGGAAAGAAAAAUAGGUUUGACAAGCUAUAAAAGGAGACCACGCACAGGAACAAAGCAGACGAUUGGGAAAGAAAGAGCAGCACGCGGUACGAGACAAAAGGAGGAGGAGAAAAGCUCAUGGAAUUUGGAAUAUGCAACAGUACUGAUUAAAUAGAACAAAGCCGGUAGACCAUAAUUCGAUCGGUUUAUUUCUUUUAGUAUGUUGUUUAUUCCUUUAAUAUGUCUAGUUAAUUCCAUUUGAUUGAGUCACGAUGAACCUAUUGUAAUAUAUGAAUCAGUAGUUAAAACUCUUUUUAUUAUCAAUAUUAUUCAGUCUUUAUUCAGAAUUAUCUGUGUUCAUUGCCUUUCAUAUGAUUGUUUGCAUUGUUUGCAUUGUUUGCAUGACUAUUAACCCUAACUUCUUACAAUCACAUAAAUUGAUCUUAGGAAUUGAAUGACUACUAACCCUAACUUUUAAUCCUGAAAUAAUAAUUCUGUUUAAUUCAACAUAGGAACCUAGAGAUAGGAAAUUGAGGAUUAUGACAUAUAACGUUCUAACAUCGCUUCCGCGGUUAUUCAACCAGUUUAAAAGAUUAAAAGGUUAUAACUUAGGAAAUGGUUUUGAGUCAAGAGAUUGAUCAAAACUAAUUAGUUAAUUUGUCGUAAAGAUUGAAUAAGUGUUGAGAGCAAAGAGAGAUAAACUAUUUCACAUAAAACAAUAGAGGAUUUACCGGCUGAUCAUCUGUUUUAAUCCAAUUAUCAAACCAUUUUAUUUUAUGUUAUUUACUUUUUAUUGCACACAAACGUACUGCCUCAUACACUUAUAAAAUUUACACAUCCUAGAUAUUAACUUUAUUGCUAGUUUGAGAUUAACACAGUCCUCGUGGAUACGAACUUAUUUUAUUACUUCGAUAGUUUUAGUACACUUGCUAAAAUAUUUAUGAGUUAACCAAUAAAGAGUAUCAAGAACAACUUUAACCGAAUAAAAUAGAAAAGUAAUUAAAUGAAAUUUAUAGAAUUAUUCAAAGUUACAUAAUCAAACAAUUACGAGGAAGUUCUUAUUUCAUGACCUAACAUAUAUAGUAUUAGCUACUCAUAGAUUUUCUAAACAUAUAUAAAUAGAUAUGAAGAAGAAAGCAUGAGAAAAGGAUCAGCAAGUGAGGAUUAAUUGGCUCCCUAAUGGCCGUGGUCACUCCAAUCCUUCCAAAAUUGUGUUUCUGCCUUCGUCUUCUCGCUAAAAAGUAUUUUCCACUAACUUAGGUUUCAAUAUUUAUAGGUGUGCAUUUCCUUAAGUUUUUGGGAAAUUGGCACACGAUGCGAUCCUAUUCCUCAUGAUGCGAGGAUAACAUAACUAAUCUUGUUGGCCUCACGUUUAUUGUCCCGAUGCAAAGCUCAUGAAGAUUGAUACGAUUCAAGGAAAUGUGAUUUGAUUUAACCAAGCAAAAACCAAGAUCAUAGGAUAACAAUGAUACGAUUCAAAGAAGUGUUAACUUGAUUCACAGUAAUACAAUUCAAAGAAUCAUGAAUCGUUUAAAAAUUUAUGGAAAAUUAGCAGAAACUUUUCAUGAUAAGAUUCAAAAAAGUUUGAAUUGAAUCAAUUGGUUAGAAAAACAUUUUGACCAAGAAAAAUGAAGUUUUCUUUAUACAAACAAAACACAAGACAACAAGGGAUCAUAUGAUUUAUGAGGCAAGAUUUCUAGGUAUGCUUUAACAUGAUAUUAGUCAAUAACAACUAAUAUCUAAACAUCAUCAAAUAAAAACUACCUAAUGAACAUCAUAAAAACACAAACCUAUAACUACACAACUUCAUCCAACUUAUUGGGUGUACCGCAUUAACUAGAUAAUGGUCAUAUCUAUACUAUAUAUAAAGAAAAUAACAUGUUUUUCAAGGUGAGAAAAACACGAGAGGGGGGGGGGGGGGGGGUUGAAUUGUGGUUUCUUUCUCUUCUCCUAAAACCGAAUUCACUAUUCAGAACUUGAUAGAGUUCAGCUUCUGAAGUAGUGUUCAGAGUCUAGUUGCAGCGGAUAAGAAAAGAGAGAGAGAGAGAGAGGCAAGACACAAAGCAACUAUACAGAUUCCUUCCACAAACCGGAACUAGUCAUGUCCCCCUUGCACCUCCAAGAAGAGUUCACUAAAAUCAAUAUUCGAUUACAAUUGCUCAGGGCUCAAAAUAGCAAGAGACUUCAAACUACUCAAGAACAACUACAAGAGAUUUCCUAUGCUCAAGAACAAAAUCAAGAGACUUCCUAUGCUCAAGCACAACUGCAAGAGACUUCAUACAAAUCAGAUAAGACUCUUAAGAUUCUAGAAUUUCUAAAAUAUGAAAGUUGAUAAGAAAUUCUAAGUGAACUUUGAUGUGAAACAUUUUUAGCAGAGUUUUGGCACUUGUAAAAUUGUUGUAAGUCUCUUAGAAAUCUUCAAGUCUUCACUCCUUUAUAUAGAGGUGUGAAAGAGACGUUGUUGAUUUCCAACACAUUAAAAGAGUCGUUAUUGAAGCUUGAUCAAAUUUCAAUUCCAUUCCAAGUAUAGAGGAAUACCAGCGUAGUCACAAUUGUUGUUCUUGUACUAUUGCAGACAGAAAACAGAGUAGUGGAGAAGGUGGUUGUACAAUUGUACUAUUGUCCUUUUCCAAUGUUCUUCAAGGGAUAAGCAUCCAAUGACUUCAAAUUCCUCUUAAUUAGUUGUUGCUCUAGACUUCUAUUCCUUCUGCAAUGAUAGGCAUGAUAAUAACAACUCUUGACAAAUAUUGAAGCUUCCAGUCUUUCAGCUUAUGAUCUUAAACUUCUAACGACGUCAGCUUCUGGUAGUCUCCAGCUUAUGAUAAAAGUGCUUCUGAUGAUGUCAUCUUCAGAACCUCUUUGUCUUCAAAACCUCUUUUCCUUCAGAUGGUUCCUUGCAACUCAAGCUUCCUUUUUUUAAAUUCCAUUGCUCUCAUUUGUUCUUCUAGAACCCAUGCUUCAUUUAAAGACACUCAAAUUUUUGUAUAUGGUCCUGCACACUUGAACAAAUAUUAUCAUAUCCAAUUGAAUUUUUUUAAUACCUUGUUAUCAUCAAAACUUAAAGGGUAAUGUUAAACACAUUUUGUUCCAACAUUUUUGACUCUUUUAGAAUGACUUUUUCUCUUUCCAAAAUUACCAUCAACUUUCAAUACAAAUAACACAUACAACAAGAAUUGUGUUAUUUGAACAUCCAUAUAUGCGACAACUUUUGUGACAACCAAAAUUUUACAAAGAAAAUGAAGUAGUGGCACAAAAACCAAAGCAAUAGAGAGAGAAAGUAAAAAGAUAAUGUGAGUAUGAGAGAGAAAGUUGUCACAAAAGUUGUAAAAAAUAGUUGUUCAAAUAUCAUUUCUCCAUACAACAAAUAGAUGAGAGUAAAUUCAAACAUUAAAAUAAAAUUGUAAUACACACGAUAUGAGUAUAUAUGUCCAGUUUUUUCCUUUAUCAUUUAAAAAAUGUAACAAACAAGAUGAGAAUAUCAGAGAGAUGAGAGAUAGUGACGUGAGACAAGAAAGACCUCUCCGUGGCCCGCCUUUGCUUGAACGGUGGUAACCGCACCAGAAUUUAUCUCCAUUUGAGAGAUACACUAGGGGGUAGGUAUGCAGCCUGGGUGGUAGAAAAUGGGGGGGGGGGGGGGGGGGGUAUGGGUGAUUGGUCUGUAGUUAGGUCACGAAAGAGGAAAGCGACGCAAUCGGAAGAUCGAGGAAGGGACAAGUCAAGGGUUUCAGAGCGACGCGGAGGCACGGUAAGGGUUAGAGGGAUCGCACAUAAUGAUUACGGGUUUGAUGGCAGAGAGGCGCGACAAUCAGCAAGGGCUCUUCAUGAUCAGCAAGGUUUGGGUCGUUAUCAGUUUGGAAACAACGAUUUGGCUUUCGACAGAUGCGGGUCUGAUGCUAUCAUGGGAAAAGGCUUCUUCGACGACAAACAUAACAAUGGUAGUAAAAUUACUUUCUAUUUUGCAAACAUUCCUGAUUAUAUGCCGUUGUUUCGUCUCCGUCAAUACUUUGAAGUGUGUGGUAUUUUGUCUGAUGUCUAUGUUGCCAGACAACUAAAUUCACGUGGUCAGGUCUAUGGCUUCGUUAGAUUUUUGAAUGUGAGGAACAAGGACAAAUUAGCACAAGAUUUGAAUAAUGUAUGGAUUGGUGACUUUAAGGUCUGGGCGCGUGAAGCAAAAUUUGAUAGGUUUGCACAAUAUGAUGAUGAUCAUAGGGUGUCUAUGCAUGGUGAUAGAAGGGAUGAGAAUGGAGGGGAGAGGAGGCCGGUGGUGAGAACUAAUGGUGAUGGAGUAAAAAAUAUGAGGAUGUGUAAUUUUAAAAAAAUAGGAGGGAUAAUAAAAAUAGUUGUUGGUCUCAUUUUAAAAAAAAAUAAAAAAAUUGUUUAUAUAUUUUUGUUAUAUUAUCGGUGUCAAUGAAAUGGAUAAUCAUGGUUAAUUUGAUUUGUUAUAAUUUGAAAGCAACACACAUUUAUAUCUUUAAUUUUAAUCAAAAUCAAAAUGUUAUAAAAAAUACUAUUGCUAAUUUUCAAAUGUUAACACAAUAAAAAGAGCAGAAAGACGGAGUGCCCGUCUUUUCACUAGUUAUAAUAAAAGAAAUUUUAUUUGAUGUAUUGAUAAUGAUACUGAAACUUUUUACACAUACAUCCAAACAUUAUUCAUGACAUCACUUUUAUACAAGUUCUAAAAUAUCGCUGUAACAAAAAGGUUAAAAAACAACUCAUGAAAUAUGUACAUGAUUUAAUUGAAUAUAUGUGUAAAAGAAAUUAUAUAUCAACAUCUAUAAAUUAAAUUUAUUAUUGAAAUGAAAUACUAGUAAAAAUGAUGGCCAGCAUUUAUGAAAAUAAAGGUCUAACUGAUCAUGGGCCAAUUUAAAUCAAAAGUAGAUUUGUGCCCUCUAAAGGGUACUAGAAUAUAAAAGAUGGACGGCAAACAAGGGACACAAAGAAUAGAGAUGCUCAAUUUAAAACACAACUUCGAUUUUUUUUUUAUUUACUAAAAAAUAACUUAGAUUGUUUAGAGAAGAUAGGAAUUCAAUUAGUCUGACAACAUAUUUUGGAAGUACAAUUAGUUUCACAAUUAACUAUUUUGAUAAUCCUCCUUAUUAAAAAAAAAUUAAUAUUCCAUUUCGUCAAAUAAAACAAAAAGUUAGGGAGUGAUGAGAGAUCUUAGUCAAUAUUGUUUUGCACCAUAAUAUUUUUGAGAGAUUGAUUUGGCAUUUACAUGCUUCCAACAAAUACAAUGUAACAAGUGCUUAUAAUUAUAUGAUAUCGUCUCUUAAUAUUGUGACAGCUGAUCACUUAAACACAAUUUGGAACAACGAGGUCCCUCUGAAAGUUAGUCAUUUUACAUGGAGUUUGCUCUGUAGCCGAUUACCAACAACAAAUAAUUUUAUCAGAAGGCACAUUCUUAAUCAUAAUGUUCAACUUUGUGUAGGCUUUUGUGGUAUAAUGUAAGAUAUAGACGAUCUAUUUCUCUCUUGUGAUUUUUUUGAAAUUUUUUAGAUUGGUAUCUAUAAUUGGCUCGGCUUUACUAUGGUACAUCCAGAACAUCCGAAUAACUUUUCAACUCAUAUGGUUAACUUGUGUUUGGGUGAUUUGAUGGGAAAGAAAUGCUUGAAGUUUUCGCAAUCAAGAAGAAUCGUUACAACAUCUUCUUGACAAAAUUAAGCUUCAAUCCUAUUAGUGGUUGAAAGCGAAUAGAAUUUUCGCUCAAUUUUAAUAAAGUGGAUACUAUAUGAGAUUUUCGCUCAAUUUUUUAUGAGUAUGGACUGCACUUGGCGUUAGUCAUUGAACUCAUUUUACGAGACUCAAGUUCCAACUUAAGCCAAAAACUGAAACCAAACAAAUGAAGUAAAAAACUCAAGUUCCAAACUAAUGCGUGAUUUUAGUCAAAACAAUGUUUAUUUUUUGACAGUAGUUAGUUUUGGAUUACAGCUAUAUCCCUACACCCCACAAACUAUACCCCUCUCACCAAUAGACAAAACAAAAGAGUAGGUGGAAGGGUACAUAAUUAAGAAAAAGUUAUGUGAAAAACAAUAUUUUCUAUAGCCAAAACCAAAAGAUAUAUAUUGCAUUAUUGCAUAUAUACCAAUAAAAGAAGUACUGUGAAAUACAAGAUAAUGGCAUUAGAUUAGAAAUGGCCAAUUUGAUCUGUCUAUUUUUAAUCAUAUUAUUUAGAUUUGUUCAAUCUUUUACCAAAUCUUAUUUAGUUAUGCAAAAAGCAACACCUCUCGUUGAAAGAUAAUAAUAACGAUUUUUGGCAUAUGUUACUAAUAUUGAUUGAAAAAUGUUACCAAAUGAUGCAACUUCCCAACUCCAAUCCACUCAUAAUUUCAAACUUCGCUACCAUAUGAAAACAAAAUCACAGGUAGAAAUGUGUUGGAAAUCCUCAACAACUAUUGACUUUUGGUACAAAAGAGUGCCAAGUCAUUACUAAUUCAAGAUUGAGACAUGCAGCUGUGAGUGGAUUCACUAAGAUCACGACUAGUAUAAAAGGAGCUGGUCACACUUGUAUUUUAUGCACCAAAUUAUAAGUCACUAACAUGGCUUCCUCAAACUUUCUAAUGAUGCUCCUCUUUGCUCUCUUUGUCAUCCCUAAGGGGUUUGCCAACUACGAGAAACCUCCAGAGUAUCAUCCACCAGUUGAAAAUCCCCCAUUUUAUAAACCACCGGUAGAGAAACCACCUGUGUAUAAACCACCAAUAGAGCAACCUCCAAUUUAUAAGCCACCUGUAGAAAAUCCUCCAAUUUAUAAACCACCAGUAGAGAAACCACCCGUGUAUAAACCACCGUUUGAGAAACCUCCAAUCUACCAUCCACCAGUAGAGAUACCACCAGUGUACAACCCACCAGUUGAACAUCCUCCAAUUUACAAGCCUCCUGUAUACAAACCACCAGUAGAGCAACCUCCCGUCUAUAAGCCACCAGUAGAGAAGCCUCCAAUUUACAAGCCACCAGUAGAGAAACCUCCUGUUUACCAACCUCCUGUUUACAAGCCCCCAGUUGAGAAACCUCCAGUGUACAAGCCACCUGUAGAAAAGCCACCAGUGUACAAGCCACCUGUAGAAAAGCCACCAGUGUACAAGCCACCUGUAGAAAAGCCUCCUAUAUACAAACCACCAGUAGAGAAACCACCAGUGUACAAACCACCCGUUGAGAAACCCCCGGUUUAUAAGCCACCAGUAGAGAAACCACCUGUGUACAAGCCACCAGUUGAGAAGCCCCCAAUUUACAAGCCACCAGUAGAGAAACCACCUGUAUACAAGCCACCAGUUGAGAAGCCUCCAGCUUACAAGCCACCAGUUGAGAAGCCACCUGUAGAGAAACCACCAGUGUACAAGCCACCGGUUGAGAAGCCCCCAAUUUACAAACCACCAGUUGAGAAGCCUCCAGUGUACAAGCCACCGGUUGAGAAACCACCUGUCUACAAGCCACCUGUAGAAAAUCCACCUGUUUACAAGCCACCAUUUGAGAAACCUCCAAUUUAUAAACCGCCAAUAGAGUAUCCACCCGUGUACAAGCCCCCUUUUGAGAAACCCCCCAUCUACAAGCCACCUGUAGAGAAACCUCCUUUUUACAAGCCUCCGUUUGAGAAUCCACCAUUUUAUAUACCUCCAGUUGAGGAGCCUCCUGUUUACAAGCCUCCAUUCGAGAAGCCACCAAUUUACACUCCUCCAUUCUAGAGCCCACCUUACCACCCAAAGUUCCCUCGGGCAGGCGAUGGUACUCGUUAAUAGAACAUGCUAUGAAGAAAAUAUGUUAAAUAAGAGAUAUAUAGAGUUUUUUAUUUAAUCAAGGAAUAUAUAUAUUCAUGUAAUCUUCAUUUCAAUACUUUGUUUACAAUACUCUUGCUAUGAUAAGAAUAUGAGUGAAAAACAGAGAAAGAAAAUAGUGUGCUUUUCUAUUCGAAAUUAUGAAUAAGAUUUCUAUGAUUUAGAUGUUGUGUUGGUUGACUAAAUCGUGAUACAUCGACAGAGGCAGAGCCCCUCAUGCGCCAAGGUGGGUCAUGGCCCACCCCCAAAUUUUGUUUCUUAUUAUAUAUAUAUUAUGUUUUGUAAAUUUUUGAUGUUUUUGUAGCAUGUUGUAGUGGUUAAGAGCCUUUUUGCCAAGUCGUAUGUGCUAGGUUCAACUCUUGCCAAAACCAUUUUUAUUUAUUCUUUUAUUUUCUUUUGUAUAAAAAAAAAACAUAAUUCAUAAUUGUUAAAAUAAUCCUUUUUUUUGUUACUUAAUCCUUUCUUUCUUUAAUAAAACAUAACUCCUUUAUUCGAUUUAAAAUAAUCUUUCCUUUCCUUACUCUUAUUUUUGGAUACAAUUGUCUCUUUACUCUUUUAUUUUAAUUUUUUUUUUAUACAAAGGGGACUUCAACUCUUUUUUGUCAAAAAACAUUCUCUUUUAAAACAUAUAACAUAUUUUUUAUACUUAGUCGUUUGAUUCAAUUCGAUUUUAUACCUAUACAUCUGUUUAUUGAAGUCGAGUCAUUUAAUUCAGUCGUUAGGUUCAAUGGCCUAGUUGUUCGAUCAAUUAUCUUGAACUUUAUCAAGGUUGAUAAACAGUUCAUAUUUUAAAAUACCGGUUUAAAUUAUAUUCAACAAAUAACAAAUUUAUAGUCAUUGGAACCAACCAAUAAUAAAAUGUACUUGUAAGAAAAUAAAGCCUCAUCACUAUUUAUGGCCCACCCUAUACUUUUUUCCUAGCUCCGCCACUUUACAUCUUCGUAUUCUUUAGGAAGUUUCAACCUUGUUGACUAUGACAACAGUGACGACUAUAACGAGACUCGCUAUUGACUAUGACAACAGUGACGACUAUAACGAGACUCCCUACUUUUUGGUUUGCUUCAACAGGUUCUCAACAUAAAUAACUAACCAAGUUAAUUUGCCUGUGAAAUGUGAUAUUAGUAAGGUGCAUGAAGGUUAAGUUCUUUAGCAAAGCUUAGUAUCUUGAAUUAAAGAAUAUCGUUAAUUAAACUAAAUAUUCAUAUUAGGUAUCACAAUUUUCAAGACUUUAUAUGUACGUGUUGAUCCAUUAAUUAAGAGAAAUUAGACUUUAGACCCGUGCGUCGCACGGGUCAUUUCGACUAAUAUAUAAUAAUAAGUAAUGGUAAAAAAAAUUCUAAAAUAAAUAAAAGAUGAAGAGUAUUAUACAUUUUACUUACUCAAGUUCAAAAAAUAAAGUAGGAGAUGACAUGAAAUCGUUUAGUUGAAACAAACGAAUAUUAAAAAAUAAAAAUUAGACAACGACAGGGAUCUAAAAUUCUAUUUCUAAUCCUUCACAUAUCAAAAUUACAAUUGGUUCUCUUCAUUGUAAUCAUCUAAACUUAAUUAAAAAAUUUACAAGUGCAAAUAGAAUCGACAUUAUACAAGUCACUACUUGAUUCCAAAAACCUAUGUUUCAUGAAAACCACUCAUACCUAAAUAACAAUAAUAAACCUUCAAAACAAAAAUCAACUAUUCUCAAAGGACCCAAAAGAAAGAUUUUUAGCCUUCUAAAUCACAAUUUCUCUUGUUGUAUUGUUUUUGUGUCAAAAGCACCAUAAGUUGAAUAGUAGGCUCAGACACAUGACUUUCCUCAUAAGACAAAAUCACCAGUUUUUUAUAGGUUGAAAAAAUAAAUCAAAUAUCCUUAACUUUCAAUAACGCUUAGAAACAACUGAAACUUUUGCAUUAUCUCAAUCCACAAACAAAAUUGAAGACCUUUAUAUUUGCUUUAGGCACCUUAAGGAAUUCUAUGUAAAUUGUUUUCCUGCAAUGAAAUGCUAAACACAAUGAGCAAAGAAGAAGAAUUAACAACAAUAUUUGGAUUGUUUUAUUUAGCUUACAAUUCUUUAAACUAAUCAANAACACAAUGAGCAAAGAAGAAGAAUUAACAACAAUAUUUGGAUUGUUUUAUUUAGCUUACAAUUCUUUAAACUAAUCAACAAAAAAUUAAAUUUGCAUUAUAUCCUCCACAAUAUCAAGAAUUUUUCAAAGGGAUCAUUCUAUUUGUAUGGCUAUGAUGAGAACUCAUGUGUGUCCAUGAAGACCAGCUCUACGGAUAACCAUGUUCAUAUUAACUAUUUUAGGAGUGAAAAUAGGAUUGGAUUGGAUUUAGUAGUGAGCUGUUGUUUUUGAUUUCAGAAGCAUUUGAAAAUAACAUUUUGAUUAAAUGGAAAUAAUAGGAAGAAUUUGUUAAUAAAAGUGAUUUUUUUUUUUUUUUUUAUGUUGAUCUUUUUAUUGUUGUGUUAGAAACAAAAUAGGACGAAAUUGUAUUUUUUUUUUUAUGUUUAUCUUUUUAUUGUUGUGUUGGAAACAAAAUAGGAGGAAAUUGUUAUAGGAAUAGGAGGAACGAUUUUUAAAGUUUAUCUCUUAAUUAAACAGGUUUAAUUGAACACGGGGGUAAUAACGUAAAAGUCAUCAUAAAAUCUAGGUUAAAAUUAGGUUAAAAAUUGGCUUACGGGUUAACUUUUAUAUAUAAAGAAGUCAAGAGAAUCUAGAUCUGUGAAGCCCCGAUACUUCAAAAUGGAUGAUGUAUCGUAUCCGCUGCGUAUUCUGUAUCGAUACCUGCCCGAUACUUCUCAAAUUUAUGAGUUUUAUUUGAUUCUUCGAAUUCGAAUUUUGAGAAUUUUAGGGUUUGAAGGUUGGUGAUGGAGGUGAAUCUGAGUUUAUAUUAAGAAUUGAUGAAGAAUUUAAGGAGAGUGCAGUGAUGGAUAGGUAACUGAGUAUGAAUUGGUAUGCAGUUUGGAAAAACAAAACAAGAGGCAGUAGCAGCACCCCCACCCUUCCUCUACUUCUUCGACAAUAUGAGUGUUAGAUUCAUUUUCCUAGGUGUGAUUUUGAGGCAGAUGAAUAUGUGUGAGAGAUUGUAGAGGAAGAUCUCAGAUAUAGCUUUUAGGGAUGAACAUGAAUGAAUGAAUUUGUAGAUGAAGAUGAAUGUUGUUUGAACAUUUAAUUAAGAAAUUUUUAAUUGUUUUUUGUUUUAAUAUUUGAAAUUAUUAAAUUGUAUUUUGAAAUUCAAAAAACCUGUUUUAAUGACAUGUAAAUGACAUUUUCCAAAUUGGCAAUGCCACAUAGGCAAAAUUUUACCACCUGUGCAUUUUUGGAUGUGAAAAUAGGGGGUAAGACUAAAACUGCAACAAAAAUGAUAAUUGAAAAACAAUUUUAAUCUGUUUUAAAAGGGCAGGACCAAUUUCCUGAGUAGGCCACAACACGAGGACCAAAAGUGUAAUUAAGCCUUAUAUUUAUGUUGAUGUGCUACAAGCUUAUGACUGGUUUCUUUUGUUUGAUAAUAUAUUUGCAUAUUAAAUAAAAUGGUUAUAAUUAUAUUCUACAUUUAAUUAUAUAAUUUUUUUAUUGACGUAUCCCAACCAUAUCGUAUCUUGAUUUUUGAAAUUUUUUCGUAUUGACGUAUCGGUGCAGUAUCGUAUCUCGUAUUCGGGCUUCAUAGAUCUAGACUAUUAAUUUUUUUGAUAAACAAGAUUAUUAUUAUUUUUUGACAAAAACAAAGUGAGAUUCAUUCAUUCAAAUUGAUAGAGUACAUCAGAUACAAACAUUGCUAAAAACGUAAAGGAUAAAUCUAUGAACAAACUCACAACACUAAAGUUCAUACAACAGCAAAAUGUCUACAAAUAAUAUGAUAAAAUCUAAGUCACCAAAAUAUUCAUGCUUCCGGGUAUGCAACGUUGGCGCCCAAAUCAUUGAUUGAAUUUGUAAUUGACUAAUGUCGAUCUUUCAACAUGAACUAAACGAACACCGCGUCAAGACGCGAAAUCAAACAUCACAUAAGACCACUAACAACACAAUGCCACAAUUAGAUGACGAAAUCACAAAAACUCAAAAGGGAAAACUUGAUAUAUGUGAAAACCAUUUGUUUAGAUCGAAAGAAAAGAGAAAAAACGAUGUAGAGGGGUGAUUUUAGGUCAAAAAUGACCUAAAACCAGUUCUUUUUAAUAAACGAAGGAGAAAGAAUGUUUAGAGAGAAGUUGGAGUUUUUUUUUACUUAAAAAAUUAGGAUAAGCAAAAUUAUUAUAGAGGGAUAAAGGGCUCCCCAACCCAUAUACAAAAUGAUGGUUGCAAUGCCAUGUAGAAAAUAAAAAGAUAACAUUGCCUUUCUUUUUACAAUUAAACUAGUUACAAACCCGUGCGUUGCACGGGUUUAAUAACGUAUUUUAUAAAAAAAAAAUCUUUUAAAAGAAAAAUGAGCAAAUUAAUGAAUAUUGCACAAACAUUAUAAAUCUUUAUCAAAAUAUUUAUGAAAGCUUUAUCAAGUCUUUAAUACACAUUAAUAUUUGUGAUGAUUGAUAAAAGAAUUAAAAAGAGUAAAGGGUAUAGAAAUAAAUUUAUUAAAGAAUUAACAAUUUGUUUAAACUUAUUUUUGUUACAAUUUAGACCAAAAAAAAUAUUGGACUUCAUUGAGUUUCUCUAUAAUUUUUUUAUCAGGCUUGAAGUUAUGACUCUGAGUUUGAAAACCGCAAAAUUCACAAAAAUUAUUGAAGAAACACUAUAAACAAAUAAACGGCAUCGUCAAAAAUGAAAUCAUAUUUGGCUAUAGUGAUCAAGCAAACAAAAAAAAAGAAGCAUAUUAAAUACCUAUAAUCAAUGGAUUCUAAUUGCAUAGAGGCGACACUUAUACUUUCUCUAUGUUUGUUCAUCAAUGAGAGUGAUUAUUUUGCGCUUUCCUUUCAGAAUUGUUCUUGACACCUAGUUUGGGAAAUGCUAAACAGGGAAAUAACUGUAAUAUUAAUCUAAUGCAUAUUAACAUGGAUAAGAUGUAUGCGAAUAUAGUUAUAUAUAACUUAUGAAAUGAAGGUAACAUAACUGAUUUUAAGCUAAAGAAAAUGUACCAUGACUUCUAAUUUAUCUUUCUAUUAUCUUCCUAUAAAGUCUAGAGAAAUGCAUGCAUGUGCAUUAUAUGUACCCCGUUGACCAAUUAACAUUUUUGAAACAAAUGAAAAUUAAGCAUCACUCCCGCAUGUGCAUCUAUAGCUAACACCAUUUGACAUUGAUGUCUUCGAACAUUUGGUGCAACUCUCAUAAUACCAUCCAAACUGGUUAGGAUUGAAUUUAGUUGUUUUUCCAAAUAGUGAUGGAGUAUGUAUCCUAACACAAAUUAUGCACGUGAAAUAAAGAAUAGUGCAAUAUGCAUUUUUAAUUUGUGCGUAAAAAAAUUCAAAGCAUGUUUGUGAAAAAAAAAAAAAAAAACAGACCUUGACUAAGUUUAUAGAUUCAUCAAUUGGCCUAACUUGAGACAGAUUGGAAAAAUCGUUCUACGAAGUACUUUUUAAACUUUACUUUUUAAUCUAUCUGAGCUUGAGAAGUGUUAAGUUCACGACAACAAUUCAAGAAACAUGGUCAAUAAACAAUCAAAUCAGAUUGUGAAAUAAUAAGUUACUCUAACACUGUAUUGUGAAAUCAUAAUGCAAACUUACUAAGUCUUAAACUUUUCAACAACCGGAUGAUGUAGGUUGAUGAGCAGCCUCGAACCUGACCAAUUGUUACAUCUAUUUGCGUUGUCAUUGACUACAAAAUAGAAGCAAAGAAUUCAAGGUAAAUAAAUGGUAAAUGAUAAAGCUACAAAGUAUUUUACCCAUAAUGUUACAUCAACUAUAUUCCCAAUGCUCUAAAUCUCUAUAUCGAGUUAUUACAUGAACUCGAUCACCCUAAAUCCGAGAAAGAAACCAAAAAAUAUAAAUAAAUCAAAAUGUAUACUAAUAAGUAACAUUGAUAAAUCAUAAAAGAAAUUACUACAAAUCUUAACUAACUUAUCUAACCUUUGCAUCACAAAUAAUGAGCUUCAUAUGUUGAUUCUCAUUACUACCAGUCACAAUUCAAGAAUCCAGUACUCCAAAUCCUAUUUUCCAAACGUCUAAAUCAUUUUUGAGAUACUUAAUGUAGUCAUAAUCCCUUGACAUUGAAAUUCAUAUAUAGAAAUACAAUAAUACAUCAUUUAAUUUUAUUCCCUUUGUUCAUUCUGAUAUCGAAAGAAGCUAACAUAUUUCUAUGUGAUCAAUUUUUGUAUCAUCAAAUUAACCUGAUCUUAAAUGUACAAAUUUCUAUCAUCAACUUUCUGGACCCCAAUGAUAUGAUCAAAACAAAUUUACACCAAUCAACUUUUUGCACGGCUCAAUGAUAUACGAAAGAAUAAAUAAAAUAUGAAAACUGUUACAGCUUUAGGAUUACUCACAAAAACUAAAAUAAUUGAAAUGCAUCAAUUAUUUUCAACUCCUGUACCAGAAGCUAAAAUAACAAUUGUGUCAAAACCUUACCAUCAGUUAAAAUUCAGUCAUCAUGACCUCUACUAUACUCCACAUAACAAAAGACGAUUUUUCUACAGCCAUGCAACAUAACAAAUUUUGGUACAUAAUCCAAUAACAAUUGGAAAAAAAAAAAAAAAACCCUUAAAAUGCAUAAUCAUGAAAAAAGGAAGAAAACCAUCUAUGAUGAAGCAAAAACUAAAACGGUGUCGAAAAAUGAAGCCCUUAAGCCAUAAAAAUCAGUCAACUCAAGUCAUGCAUGGUCUCAGAACCAUGAAAAAAGAUAGAAAAUGACCUUUUUUUUUUUUGUGGUGGCCGGGGUUUGAACUCCGGACCUUGCAUAUUUUAUGCAUUGUCCUACCAACUAAGCUAAGCUCACGAGGACGAAGAAAAUGACCUCUUAUGAAGAAGAAAGUGAAACAGUGUUCCCGACUGAACUUAGAUACCGUUUGGUCAAGGUUUUUUACAUUAUAAAAGUUACUUCAAAACAAAGUAAAAAUAAAGGCCUUUAUGAAAGAAACUAAAGUUAUUUGGUUUUUUUGUUUUGUUAGUUUUAAAGCUAUUUAAGUUUAAUGUUGUUUGGCAAAAUAUUGUACAAACUUUGAAUUUAUUAUUUUUUAUAUGGUGUCUGGGGUUCGAACUCCGGACUUGGCAUGUAUUUAUGCAUUGUUCCUAUCAACUGAGCUAAACUCAUGAGGACAAAACUUUGAAUUUAUUAUUAAUUAACAUAAUAAAUAAAUAAAAUGUUUAGAAUAAUUUAUGAAGGCUAAAAAUGUUAAAAAAAUAAAAGAUAUUUUUUUUACAAAUACGAUAUUUACUCAAUAACGUUUAUUUUGUGUAACAUGAAUACAAAUUAAUAUCAUCAUAUAAAUAACUUGUUAAAUAUUUGAAUAGGAGAAACAAUUUAAGGAGUCUGGAAUAAUAAUAUAAAUAAUAUCAAAAUAUUUGAUUUUUUCUAUUUCAAUUAUACUCUAUAACAAAUUUCGUUAUAAGAAUACCAUAUUUUUUGUGUCUUUCAAAAAGAUAAGAAUUUAUAUUAUAUGAUAUUAUAUUUGUUACAUUGUUGGUGUCAUGGAAACAGAUAUGUUUAAUUUUUUUGAACAUGAAAAUGAUAUGCAUAGUUUGUUACGAUAUAAAGGUGCAAUAUAUAUAUAUAUAUACACCUUUUUAGGCAUCUAUACCUUUUUUUGAAGAAAAGACAUCUACAAUUUUACUUUUAAUUAAAAUUUAAAUUUUAUAAAAAUAAUCAUACGCAUUAUGCAACGCUAAAAAAAAUUAUACACAUUAGCGUAACAAAAAAACAGACACACAUAAAGAAUUACUCUAAACGCUAAUGUGUAUGUGCGUAUAUAUUUGCGAGGUUGAAGAAAGAAAAUACAAAUAUUUGAUAUCAUUAAAUGACAGCGUGAAUAAAAAUAUUUGUGAAGUUGUGAUGAUUAAACGAUAUUGAAAUUAUAAGUGAUAAAAAGAUAAUAAAAUUCCUUUGAAAAAAAGGUAAUAAAAUUAAAUGGAACCUCCUUAAAAAAAAUUAAAUUGAACGCUUCAAAUUAAAUGGAAGAAAAAAAUAUAUUGAAGUAUAAUAUUAAAAAAUAAAAAAAAAGGUUCCCAACGUGAAUUGAAGAGAGAUGCUUGUGAAAUAAAUUGUCGAGAAGUAGUUUUUUGAAGAAGCAUUCAACAACUUUUGGUCAAAGUUCAUUGCAUUCAAUUUUAUGCAUUAAAAAAGGUACAUUUUUUAGAAAGUACUUAAUUGAUAUUGUAUUUGACCUAACUUCUCCUUAAAAAUAUAGGGAAGUUGAAAAAAAAAACCGGGUCAAACGGUAUCUUAAUUUCCCACAACGGCAGUGUAGAAACAACUGAAUUUGGGAGAAAAAAAUUGGAAAAUAGUUAAAAAUAAAAAAAAUUGAAAAAUAGUUAAAAAAAAUCGGUGAGGUAGCACCUAACCAAACAACACUAAAAAAAAUUAUAUGCAUCAGCGUAACAAAAAAACAGACAGACGGACAUAAAAUAUUACUCUAAACGUUAAUGUGUGUGUAUAUAUUCGCGAGGUUGAAGAAAGGAAAUAAAAAUAUUUGGUAUCAUUAAAUGACAGCGUGAAUAAAAAUAUUUGUGAGGUUGUGAUGAUUAAACAAUAUUGAAAUUAAAAUAAUUAAUAUUGUGUUUGACCCAACUUCUCCUUAAAAAUUUAGAGAAGUUGGAAAAAAGUCGGGUCAAGCGAUACCUUAAUCUCCCACAACGGUAAUGUAGAAGCCACUGAAUUUGGGAGAAAAAAUUGGAAAAUAGUUAAAACUAAAAAAUAAAAAAAUCGGUGAGGUAGCACCCAACCAAGCAACACCAAAAAAAAAUUAUAUGCAUUAUCGUAACAAAAAAAUAGACAAACAGACAUAUAAUAUUACUCGAAACAUUAAUGUGUGUGUAUAUUCGCGAGGUUGAAGAAAGGAAAUAAAAAUAUUUGAUAUCAUUAAAUGACAACGUGAAUAAAUAUAUCUGUGAGGUUGUGAUGAUUAAAUAAUAUUUAAAUUAAAAUAAUUGAUAUUGUGUUUGACCUAACUUCUCCUUAAAAAUGUAGAGAAUUUGGAAAAAAGCCGGGUCAAACGAUACCUUAGUCUCCCACAACGGCAAUGUAGAAGCAACUGAAUUUGGGAGAAAAAAUUGAAAAAUAGUUAAAAACAUAAAAAUUGGAAAAUAGUUAAAAGUUAUUAAAAAUUAGAAAAUAAUUUAAAAAAUUGGUGAGGGGCAAAAUGGGAAAUUUGGCAUAAAAAAGAUGAGGUGGCACCAAACCAAACCCACCAAUUAGAAAAUUACUUAAAUGCCCAUUCCAGGGACAAAAUGGGAAUUUCAUAUGGCAUCAAUUUUAAUAGAGUAUAUAGACCACUCACAUUACACAAAUGUUGAAAUAUAUGAUGCAUAUUACUUUUUAAAUUUUUGGUUUAUAGUUGCAUUUUUUUUAGGGUUAAUAGUGUUUUUCACCCUUGUAAUAUAUGUCAUUUUCGGUUUUCGACCCUAUAAAAUUUUUAGUUUUAUUUUAACCCUCGUAAAAUUUUUAUUUUCCGGAAAAGACCCUUAAUAGGCCAUUCAAAAACCAAAAUUUCUUGAAAAAAAUUCUGAAAAUGGCCUAUUAGGGGUCUUUUCCGGAAAAUAAAAAUUAUACGAGGGACCACCUGUUGAGAAACCACCUGUACACAAGCCACCAGUUGAGAAGCUACCUGUUUACAAGCCACCUGUAGAGAAACCUCCGGUGUACAAGCCACCUGUUGAGAAGCCCCCAGUUUACAAACCUCCAGUAGAGAAGCCUCUAGUGCACAAGCCACCAGUUGAUAAACCACCUGUACACAAGCCACCAGUUGAGAAGCUACCUGUUUACAAGCCACCUGUAGAGAAACCUCCGGUGUACAAGCCACCAGUUGAGAAGCCCCCAGUUCACAAACCUCCAGUAGAGAAGCCUCCAGUUCACAAACCUCAAGUGGAGAAGCCACCUGUAUACAAGCCACCAGUUGAGAAGUUUCCAAUUUACAAACCUCUAGUAGAGAAGCCUCCAGUGCACAAGCCACGAGUUGAGAAACCACCUGUACACAAGCCACCAGUUGAGAAGCUACCUUUUUACAAGCCACCUGCAAAGAAACCUCCGGUGUACAAGCCACCAGUUGAGAAG